UCAAAACGCGAUUGAUAAAAUUAUCUUAAUAAUAAAAUAACUCAAUGAUUAAAUUACCCGAUAAUUUUGAAAAUAAUACCAAAUAUUAAAGAUUAAAAAAUACUCCAAUAAAAACUCUUUAUUAUCUUCUGUAGAUCACUUAGAAAUGUGUUACAGUAAUUAUUUUUUUUUAAAAAAGGUCGGAGACAUGUGUAUUAAAGGUGUAAUUUCUAAAAGUUUAUCCGUCUAUUUAAUUUAGACUUAUUAUCCCUGUGCAGCAUAUAAUCUUCAACUUCCAAUUUUCUUGCACUCUUACGCCGAUCCUUGUUCAAAAUUGACACCACAAGCAUUGGACUGGACUUCUACAGUAAAAGAAGUGAGAAACUGCAGAAACUAAUAAACUAAUAUUUCUAUUGUUCUUAUUAUGCAAACUAAAUGCACAAAAGAAAAGUUUUGAAGGCAAAAACAAAGACCGAGAGUGCCUAUUUGAAAAUAUAGGUUUACAAAAUAAGUAAAUAGAAGCCCUAACAUACAGCAGUUAAACCUGUUCACCAUCCCCGUAACUUAAAGUGGAACUAAAAUUCUAGAAACAUGAAAUUCCUUCAUCUUUGUCCUUGAUGCCUUGCAUCUUCUACUCUUCACAAGGACUGUCCCACUAGCCUACUCCCUGCCCCUCUUCUUUCCGGACCUCUUUUUUUCCUUGUUCGCCAGUGGCACUGCCUCCAGAAGAGACCGUGGGCACGGUUUGGCAGGGUGAAGAGCGCACAUGAUGCCCAGGAACAAAGCAGGGAACCCAACACAAGGGAUUUUGCAAAACAACAGAGAUAAAAACUAUCAACAGGUGUAAAAGAUUUAAACCAUCAUAAGAAGCAACGAGAAUACAAAAAGCAUGAAGCUUCUCCAAGGCCGGUGAAGAUCAUUAAGACUUUAUCUUUAGGAUAAGGAGCAUAUUAAAGACACAAAACAGACUUCCUCUUGAAAUAUAUACUUCUCCGCUAAUAGGUUUAUGCAAGUAGGAAAAUUAUCUUUCAAGUUAAAAACUGUACAUUUCUCAUUUACUAUGCUAGCACUCCCUUUCAUUUAGUUUCAGUUUGUUGACUGGUAAUGGGAAAUUAAUUAAGUAUAAUGAAAUAAAUCUACACUAAAAAAAGGAAAAACCCAAAAUCAAGCUUCAGCUAACAAGGGCAACGUUGAUCAUUUUCCAACCCCAUUAUGAGUUCACACUAGAAGAACUAAAAGUCAAAAAACACCACACUUGAGAGAAAAGAAAAUCAAAAGGAAUUCAAAUACAAAUUGCAGGGCAUAUAGACAGAAAAGAAAUCACACGUGAAGGUAGGAUUCCUCUACAAACCAUUGGAGCGAAAAUUGAGUAUUGCUCCUAUAGAGUUCAAACUAUCUAUGGGGUAUGGAAAAUCAAAUCUUGGAUAUUUAUAGAUGCAAAAUAAUUAGAAUAAGACUCUACUUACCUUUACAACAAAAAAUGACAAAUUCUUUCAUUUUUUGAUCUCUAUUUGAGUAAAGAAAGACUACUUUUAUAGUUUCAGCUCUUAGAUUUGUAAUGCAGACAUUAUGUAUAUUGAAAUACAUCUACAUUAAAAAAAAAAAGAAAAGAAAACCCCUAAUCAAGUUUCAACUAACAAGAGCAAGGUUGAACAUUUACCCAACCCCAUUAUGAGCUCAACUAGAAGAACCAAAAGUCAUAAAACAUACAUGGAGAGGCCAUAUACCAACAUCUAUUUGUGAAGAAAGCUAUACAAUUCUACUAUUGUAAACUGUAAUGAUAAAUAGAAGACAAUGGAAACAAGAGAGAUGGUUUAGUGAAUCAUGUCAUAUACCCAACAAGAGCACAGCAGACUCCUGCCUUGGCCGAGGAUGCAUCAAAUGCACACCCUUACUCAAAGUAGACGAAGAGCUUGAUUCUCUGAAAUGAAGCUUGGAAUGCAUGCGGCUCAGUCUUCUACACUUCCCCUUCUAAAUACCUACUCUUCAUCUCCAGAUUUCUAACAAUACAUCUUUCCUCUCACCUUCGAUCUCAUCAGCUUGCAUCUUCUAUUUCUCACUGCCUACAAAAAUAUCGAUUCAACCAAUUAAACCUAAAACCCAAUUUAUAUCUCAAACUAGACAUGGCAGCAGAGAAAUCUGAGAUAAAAAUACAAUUCAGUUUUCCAAUUCAAUCACAGUAAAAGAUGAUAAAUUGGGAAUUCCAUUUAUACCUUCUCUGUUUCUUAGCAAUGGGAUCAUCAUUAUCAAUGGUGAUGCGGGUCCGGUCUUGUUUGUGGAAAGCAGCAUCAUCGAUGGUCUCAUCGCUGUUACUAGGAGGUGAAUCAACCAGUAUAUCUGCCAAAAAAUCAUCAGAGACUGGUUGAAUCUCGACCCUGUCAUCAAAUUGAUCGUCCUCCAUCAAAGCCUUCUCGAUCUCAUCGACCCACGAAUUCACCACCGGUUCUUCACCGGGAGAUGCGGUGGACGAAGGUUGAGGCGGUUCUGGUUCGUCUUCUAAGAUAUUUCGAAAAUCGGGAGAGUCAAGCUCAAGGAACAGGCUAUCCCAAUUGAUUUCCUCCAUAAUUACCCAAAAAAAUUAGGAAAGGAAGCUGAAAUUUAUUAGUAUUUACAGAGGAAGAAAAAGAAAAGAGAAACCAUGAAAAAUUUCUUAGGGGCAGUGCCUCCAAAUUGAAUCAAUCAAAAGAGAAAACAAACGCCUACUUAAAUUAAUUAUGUUUCCUUCGAGACGAAGUUACGUCUGACCUAUUCGCUUUACUCUUUCUAUUGAUUAAUAGAUGGAAGAAUCGGGGUAACUUACGUUCUGACUUGGCCCGGCCCGUUAGAGACGCGUUUUGGUUUGAAAAUUGGGAGAAUGGAUCGGUAGGAUUUUUUAUUAAGAACGUUUUAUUUUUUGUUCUUUUAUUAUUUGUUUUUUGUUUUUUGUUUUUUGAACUAUUUAUCAAACGGAGUCUAAUAAAUAAAUGGAUAAAAUAUUACAAUCCUCUCAAUUAUUUUAAUUUUUUAAAAUGAGUUUUUAUUUUUUAUUAUAUUCAAAUAAAUUUUCUUUUUAAUUUUUAUUUCAAAUAAAAUAUUAAUUUAAAUGAAAAUUUAAUUAAUAUAUUAAUUAAAAAUUAAAAAUUUAUUUAAAUAUAAAUUAAAGAUUAAAAAUUUAAUUAAAUACAAAUUAAAAUUCAAAGAAUUAUUUCGAUACAAAGCAUUAUUAAUUUAUUUAAUAUGAAUUUUAAAAUAUUAAUAUAAAAAAUUUUACAUUAUAAAAUAAAAUGUAAUGACAGGCCAGACCAAGGCUCUGCUAUUAAAAGUGUCGCCAGCCCAGGGAAACUUCUUAUCGAGCCCAGUUUUAAACGGUGCAUUAUUUUCAUUAUUCAUUUUCAAAGUACUCGAUUAUGAAAAAUGACGUCGUUUGGUAAAGGGCGUGUUAACCUAUUAUUAAGCCAGCCGACAUUAAAACACCUCACUUUUUUUCCUCUCUUCGCCUUUAACGCCGGCGUCUCAACCCUAAGGAAGCACAGAACAUUUGUUUAUGUAAGAAUUUAUUUAUUUAGGUUUUAGCAAAUUUUCAAAACUUUUCUUUGCUUCAUUGUGUUUCUUUGUAUUUAAAAAUUUACCUUUUUUAAUUUUUUAAGACUUUCGUUUUGUUUUUCUAUCUGGGUUUCUUUGCUUCAGUUCCAAAUGUAAGAUUUUAAGACCAAUUUUCAUCUACUUUUUGGUUUUUUUUGGCUUGGAAUAACAAAAUUCUUUAACUGGUCAACCUGGAUUAGUUUAGGCUGUUAAAUUAUAUAUGUGUUUCUUUUAAGGAAAUCAUAUGCAUACUUGCAGAUCUUGUCCCUAAUAAAAAUUUAGUUCUUUUUGUAUGUAUUGGCAUUUUAAAAUUUAGGGGUGAUUAAGGGUCACUUUGGAAUUGAUUUUUAGGGGUUUGGAUUAAGUGGCAUGAAAUAAAAUGUUUGUAAGGAGUUGAAUUAUUGGAUAUAGUUGCACCUAAGCAUUUAGCUCAAUGGUAGAAUCAUGUAUUGUUUUGAGCAGGUUUCGAAUUCCCCUUUGAUAUAUAUAGUGGAUAUGAGUUUGCCAAAGUUCGAAGUUUAGAUUUUUGUUGAAAAAUUGUUCAGGUAUCAUGAAGGAAAAUUUUUUGGAUUUUUUUUGUGUUAUAGUGAUGGGAAUCUUGCGGAAGAUGGAUAGUGAGGUUUUCAAAAAAAGUUUUAAAUGUUUUUACAAUUUGGUAGCUAUAACAAUGUUUUGACCCUUUUCGUGGGGACUUUUCUGUUGGUUUCUGUUGACCUUUUGUUUUGGUUAAAGUUCAGUGGAAAUUUAGGAGUUACGUUACUGUAUAGGUCCUUGGUGUGGCUUACUAAUGUGAUUUUUUUUUUGUCUAAUCAAGUACAUAUAAUGCUUGAGAAUGUCUGAGAUAAUUUGGGAUGAACAGCAACAUCGAGUAGAAUCUCUAUUAGAUCCAUAGGGCGAAAGUGUAAAACAUUGUGCCUUAUUAACGGGGGAAGUUUUCUUGGAGCCUUCUGUGUGUAAUUGGUUUAAUGUUUCCGAUAGCUCCUUUUUAUGGGACAAAUUGAUGAAGGGUUGCCUGCUUGAAAUAUUAGCAUAUACAUUGCCGUAUAGAUAACCUUGACUACAGGUUUUGUGAAAGAGUUUAUUUUUGGAAUAUAUUAAUACUGUGUGCACAUAUUAUUAGUAUAACUUUUUAUUCAGUAAUUGUAUGUUUCUUUGGUUUCUGGAUUUUUUUUGUCCAUGGGUUAAAGCGAGUUUAAUGUAUCUUUUUUACUGCAGAGCUGCCCUUUCUCUCUGUUUUCACCUUUGAUCCAUUGUUUCCGCUUUAUAAUGGCAACUAGUAAGUUUAUUGCAGCCUUCAGUAUGUAUAUAUAUUUAAUCUCUACAAUGGUAUUGUUUUAAAAUUUACCAGUCAUAUUUUUUUGGUGAUUUCCCAUCAUUUUGGAGUAAAUAUAUCUAUAAUCACGAGUCUCAUAUGGUGAUUUAUGCAGGGCUUCAGUUUGAAAAUUCAUGUGAUGUUGGAGUCUUUUCCAAGCUGACUAAUGCUUACUGCUUGGUUGCAAUUGGAGGGUCAGAAAACUUCUACAGGUAAGCAUGUUUUCAGAGUUUCUUCUUUUCCCUGUUUUUGUUAAUGUAUUAAGGUUGUAUUGGCACUUUGCAGUGCUUUUGAGUCAGAGUUAGCAGAUGUCAUUCCUGUCAUUAAGACCUCUAUUGCUGGCACUAGAAUAAUAGGACGGCUGUGUGCUGGUGAGAACUUUUAAGAUUUAUUGAUCUUAUCUGAGGUAUGUUGGUAGAUGCCUUUGACUUUGUUUAAUGUGAACUUGCUUCUCUCUGACAGGAAAUAAGAAGGGGCUUCUUGUUCCCCACACCACCACAGAUCAAGGUAAUUUUAUGAGUUACCUUAAAGUAGGAAGAAUGUUAAAGUUGAUUCUUUUUUAGUUUUCAACCAGGUCUAAAGAUUGGCAAUAUUUGGUUUCUUACUCUCUGCUUCUACCUGAAGCUUCCUUGUUUUACUUAAACCCUUUAUCUAGAAAUUUUCAUCCUUAGCUUGUUCUAAGAAUAUACAAAUGACAUUGUUAAAAAUUUCUUGUAGUAGCAACAGUAAUAUAAUAAGCCUUUAGGAAGAAAACGAGAUGUUCUAGUGUUCAAUUUUAGUUUGAGAUUAUAACAUGUUAAAUGAUGUAUAGCUAGUUUUGUAUUUUUUUUAUAGUCUUUGUUGCUGUUUAUGACCAGAUCCCUUAUCUUAUAUUUCUGAUACUUGUAUAACAAGAAGUUUAAGAGAGGGCAGGGGUUAAUCUAAUACAAGUAGAAUCAAUGGGGCUACCUACCUCUCCACAAAAUCCUCUUGAGGGAGGAAGGCGUUGUCCAUUAGUCAAACCCAUCACUAACCUGCACAAAGCAUGCUUGGUAUGAUGGAACCUGUAGGGACAGAAGGUGGUGGUGGGUCAUACGUUAGGGUAGGAAAUGUAUCCUGCAUGCCUGUCAAAUGACAGUUGUAUCCUACUAGAACAUAAAAUAAAACAAGAGAAUGGUUAAGAUAAAGGUAAAGAAACUUAUGAUGAUAUGGGUUUAGUUGGCUAAGAUGAGGUUUGAUUCAAGUAAUUUAAACAUAUCAGGAAACUGGAUUUGAAUUCUCUAUAAUUGUGCAUCCUAAGGAUUGCACUAAUUAGUUGAUUGUGUUCUUGGAGACAGUUUGAUGGUUGGGCUUACUAAGUUAGGGGAUGGAAAGACCCAAUAUUAAAAUUAAUCAUAUGCAGAUUUCAGUGCUCCGGGGGAGCGUUGACUAAAAGUCUAGAACUUUGCCACAUUUCUGGUAUGUUAAGAUGUAGGGCACUUGAGUUUUUGAUGUUUAUAAUUAUCAUUUUAGUUGCUUUUUAAUGCUCAAGUGUAAAUUGCGAUCUCUGCCCUAAGUGGCUUUAGAUUUGUUGCAAUUUACACGAAAUCCCUUGGUUUAUGUAUGUACUGCCUCUAAUUUGAUUUUUUCAAGUGCAAGUUGGUUCAGUUUUGCAUGUAAGCCCUAGAGGCUUUCAAUCACACUCCUAACCUUAAACUGAAAUCCCUUGGUUUAUGUAUAUUCUGCCUCUAAUUUGAUUUUUCAAGUGCAAGUUGGUUCAGUUUUGCAUGUAAGCCCUAGAGGCUUUCAAUCACAUUCCUUUUGCAUGUAAGCCCUAGAGGAUUUUAAUCACAUUUUUUUGUCUUUGUAGGCUAAUAGUGUAUUUGAUCUAGAAUUCUAGUUCACUAGUUUAAAGGUUUAACCUUAGUUUGUGACAUUAAUGAUGGAUUUUUUGUUAUUCUUUCUUGUUCAAGAACUUCAACACUUGCGAAAUAGUCUACCAGAUCAAGUCGUUGUUCAGCGCAUUGAGGAGAAACUAUCUGCUUUGGGGAACUGUAUAGCAUGCAAUGACCAUGUUGCUUUGACACAUACUGAUCUAGACAGGGUAAAAUUCUAUAUUUCACUGGAAUAGUUUAUUAAGAUAUAUAUAUAUAUAUAUAUGCUAAUAUCUAAGUGCAGUGUUGAGUGCUUAGCAGUCACAGACCUUUACUUGGCUGAGAAUCUUGGUUUGAAAUGAUAACUUAAGUUUUGAAUUAUCCUUUAAUCUGAGGUUGUAUGUGUAUUCCUCAAUAUCCUCAACAUUUAUUUUUCUUUUCAAUGUUUAAUAAGCAGAAUGUCAGGAAAAAAAAAAUCAGAACAUGGUUUCUUUAGCCUUAGUUACUUUUUAAAACUUUUCUCCCUGAUUCUUCCAGAGAUUAUGAAGAGUUUAUCAGGGUGUACGCACAUCCUUGUUGGUUUUUCCAUAAGUAGUCAGUGCCUAGUUUUACCUUCUGAGGAAAAUGUGCUGUUUAUUUGAAGUUAUCUUUCCAUGUCAUAUGUGGUUGACUUGAGCAUGAAUGUGGAAAUCUUCUUCUUUACCUUAAGAUUUUACAAUAUGCUUAUUAUAUCGUUUAUCUGCAACUUUGAUCAGGAAACUGAGGAGAUAAUUGCUGAUGUUCUAGGCGUAGAAGUUUUCAGACAGACAAUUGCUGGGAAUAUUCUUGUAGGAAGCUACUGUGCCUUUUCUAAUAGAGGUGGCUUGGUAAGAUAGAAUCUCUUCUUCUAGCAACGAUGAUAACCUCUCAUUCCCUUUUUUUUUUUUUUUCUAAUGUUGUCUCUUGACUGGUGCAGGUCCAUCCUCAUACAUCAAUUGAAGACUUGGAUGAGCUAUCAACACUUCUUCAAGUUCCAUUGGUGGCUGGCACUAUCAACCGUGGGAGCGAUGUAAUAGCUGCUGGAAUGACCGUAAAUGACUGGACUGCCUUUUGCGGGUCAGACACCACAGCAACAGAACUUUCUGUCAUCGAGAGUGUCUUCAAGCUGAGAGAAGCACAACCUAGUGCCAUUGUAGAUGAGAUGAGGAAGUCAUUGAUCGAUAGUUAUGUUUAAUUUCUCGUUGUUGGGUUCUGCUCAUCCUUGGUCUAUAUUCAAGUUUUAUGUUAUGUUUAAAAUUAAUUAUAAUAAUGAAAAGUGUAAAUUUUAAAUCAGUGUGAAACUUUGGAUGUUUGAUGAAAGCAAAGAACAUGUGAAAAUUAUUCCUCCCCUGUAAACGUGUGUUAUAUCUUUGAAUAAUACAAUAAUUUAUAAUUCUAGUUAUGCAGUUCAGAUGUUAGUAGAUUCUGUGUAGUUGGUGGAAUUGGUUUUUAGAAAAAAUUUUAAUUUUAUAGGAUUAAAAGAUUGAAAUAUAUCUUAUUUAUUUAAUUAAUAUAUAUUAAAAGUUGUUUGUCAUUUUAUUAAUCUCGUUUGAAAUCUUAUGUAUCAUUGGAUGGAAUAAUUUUUUAAAAAUAAGUUUAUUUGAAUUUUCAUUUUGAUAAAAAUUUUCCCUUUUAUUUCAAAAAAAUAAACAUUGUUUUAUUCGUGGUUCGUUCAUUUAUUUUUAUGAUCAUUUAAAUUUAAUAAAAAAAUUUUAUGUUAUGUUUGAGCUCAAUUUAUUUAGAUAUUAAAAUAAUCAAGUUUAAUUUGAAAUAAAUUUGUUUAAGUUAAACAAAUUUAUUGUAAAUAUUAAAUGACUAUAUUUACGAACAUUUAAAUGAACAUUGACAAACGUAAACCAAUAAGUAAGAAAUUGAUCUUACAAACCAAUUAUUUACACUCUCGAAAAGAGAAGGAAAAAUGCCUAUUUAUAAACAGUUUUCUUCCCUACAUUAAUUUUUCAAGCUAUGUAAAAUAAAAAGAUUAUAAAUAAAAAUUCUCCUCUAUAACUUGUUUAUUGUUGAUUUUAGGCAAUUAAAAAUUAUAAAUAAUAUUACAAAAGAUUUUUAAUAUACGUUGAGUGUAUUUUUUUAAUGUAUUAAUAUUAAAUUAUGAUUAAAAUUUUGUUAAAAAAUAUUUAAUUAUAAAGUAAUCAUCUUAAAAGGAAUAAAAACAAAAUGUAAAUAAAUAUUUAUUAAAUUUGUUCACAAACAUUAAACAAAUUUGUUCACAAAAAAAAAAAUGAACGAAAUAGACUUCUCUUAAUAUUCAGUUAAUUUAUUAAAUAAAUAUUGUAAUAUAAAGUAAUAUAUAGGGUAUAUUUAGAAUUUCUUUUCAAAACUUUUGACAAAAGCAAUUACGUAAAAUAAAAACUCACUGUUUCACUCGUAAUUAAUUGUCUCCACAUGAUAUCUAUCAAUAAUCGACAUGAAUUUUAGAUGUAUUUAAUAGUAUGGUGUAUAAAAUAAUAUAUAAGUUGUACUUAGAAUUACCUUUUGAAACUUUGACGUCUGCAAUUACAUAAAAUAAAAUCUUCUAUUGUUUCACUUUUAAUUAAAUGUCUUCAUGUUCUAUCUAUCCAUAGUUGACAUGAAUUUGAGAUGUAUUUAAUAAUAGGGCGUAUAAAGUAAUAUAUGGGAUAUAUUUAGAAUUCUUUUUCAAAACUUUGACGUACACAAUUACGUAAAAUAGAAUUUUCCACCAUUUCACUCACAAUUAAGUGUCUCCAUGUACUAUCUACCCAUAGUCAACAUGAAUUUGAAAUGUAUUUAAUAGUAAGGUGUAUAAAGUAAUAUAUAAGGUGUAUUUAGAAUUUCCCUUUGAAACUCUAACGUAUGCAAUUACAUAAAAUACAAUUUUCCAUCAUUUCACUCGCAAUUAAGUGUCUCAACAUAUUAUCAACCCAUAAUCGACAUGAAUUUGAGAUGUAUUUAAUAAUGAAGUGUAUAAAGUAAUAUAUGGAGUGUAUUUAAAAUUCUUUUUCAAAACUUUGACGUAUAUAAUUACAUAAAAUAGAACAUUUCACCAUUUCACUAGCAAUUUAGUGUCUCCACGUGCUAUCUAUCAAUAUUCGACAUGACUUUGAGAUAUAUUUAAUAGUGGAGUGCAUAAAAUGAUAUAUGAUGUGUAUUUAAAAUUCCCUUUAAAAAUUUUGGCGUAUGCAAUUACAUAAAAUAGAACCUUCCAUUAUUUCACUCCUUUAAAACUUUGGUGCAUACAAUUACAUAAAAUGGAACUUUCCACCAUUUCACUUAUAGUUAAGUGUCUUCACGUGCUAUCUACCCAUAGACAGCAUGAAUUUGAGAUAUAUUGAAUAGUAAGGUGUAUUUAGAAUUCCCCUUCGAAAUUUUGACAUAUGCAAUUACGUAAAAUAAAACCUUCCACCGUUUCACUUGCAAUUAAGUGUCUCUAUAUGCUAUCUACCCAUAGUCGACAAGAAUUUGAGAUGUGUUUAAUAAUAAGGUAUAUAAAGUAAUAAAUGAAGUGUAUUUAGAUUCUUCUUUGAAACUUUGACGUAUGUAAUUACAUAAAAUAGAAUAUUCUAUUGUUUCACUUACAAUUAAGUGUCUCUACGCGCUACAUAUCCAUAGUCAUUAUGAAUUUGAGAUGUAUUUAAUAAUAUGGUGUAUAAAGUAAUAUAUAAGGUGUAUUUAAAAUUUCUCUUUGAAACUUUGACGUAUGCAAUUAUGUAACAUAAAACCUUCCACUGUUUCACUGGCAAUUAAAUGUCUCAACGUGUUAUUCACCCAUAGUUGGUAUGAAUUUGAAAUGUAUAUAAUAGUGAGGUGUAUUAAGUAAUAUAUUAGGUGUAUUAAGUAAUAUAUUAGGUGUAUUUAGAAUUUUUCUUUGAAACUUUGACGUAUGCAAUUACGUAAUAUAGAAACCUUCUACCAUUUCACACAAUUAAGUAUCUCAAUGUGUUAUCUACCCAUAGUCAGCAUGAAUUUGAGAUAUAUUUGAUAGUGAGGUGUAUAAAAUAAUAUAUUAUGUGUAUUUAAAUUUUUUUUUUGAAACUUUGACAUAUGCAAUUACGUAAAAUAAAAUCUUUCACAGUUUCACUCACAAUUAAGUGUCAUGAAUUUAAGAUAUAUUUAAUAGUGGGUGUAUAAAGUAAUGUAGUAGGUGUAUUUAGAAUUCUCCUCUGAAACUUUAACGUAUGCAAUUACGUAAUAUAGAACCUUCCAUUAUUUCACUCGUAAUUAAGUGUCUCCACGUGCCAUCUACUCAUAAUUGAUAUGAAUUUGAGAUGUAUUUAAUAGUAGGGUGUAUAAAGUAAUAUAUAAGGUGUAUUUAAAAUUUCUCUUUGAAACUUUGACGUAUGCAAUUAUAUAACAUAAAACCUUCCACUGUUUCACUGGCAAUUAAAUGUCUCAACGUGUUGUUCACCCAUAGUUGGUAUGAAUUUGAGAUAUAUAUAAUAGUGAGGUGUAUUAAGUAAUAUAUUAGGUGUAUUUAUAAUUUUUCUUUGAAACUUUGACGUAUGCAAUUACGUAAUAUAGAACCUUAUACCAUUUCACACAAUUAAGUAUCUCAAUGUGUUAUCUACCCAUAGUCAGCAUGAAUUUGAGAUAUAUUUGAUAGUGAGGUGUAUAAAGUAAUAUAUUAUGUGUAUUUAGAAUUUCUUUUUGAAACUUUGACAUAUGUAAUUACGUAAAAUAAAAUCUUUCACAAUUUCACUCACAAUUAAGUGUCAUGAAUUUAAGAUAUAUUUAAUAGUGGGUGUAUAAAGUAAUAUAUUAGGUGUAUUUAGAAUUCUCCUUCAAAACUUUAACGUAUGCAAUUACGUAAUAUAGAACAUUCCACUGUUUCACUCGUAAUUAAGUGUCUUCACGUGCCAUCUACUCAUAAUCGAUAUGAAUUUGAGAUAUAUUUAAUAGUAGGGUUAUAAAUUAAUAUACAAGGUGUAUUUAAAAUUUCUCUUUGAAACUUUGACGUAUGCAAUUAUGUAACAUAAAACCUUCCACUGUUUCACUGACAAUUAAAUGUCUCAACGUAUUAUUCACCCAUAGUUGGUAUGAAUUUGAGAUGUAUAUAAUAAUGAGGUGUAUUAAGCAAUAUAUUAGGUGUAUUUAGAAUUUUUCUUUGAAACUUUGACGUAUGCAAUUACGUAAUAUAGAACCUUCUACCAUUUCACACAAUUAAGUAUCUCAAUAUGUUAUCUACCCAUAGUCAGCAUGAAUUUGAGAUAUAUUUGAUAAUGGGGUGUAUAAAGUAAUAUAUUAUGUGUAUUUAGAAUUUCUUUUUGAAACUUUGACAUAUACAAUUACGUAAAAUAAAAUCUUUCACAGUUUUACUCACAAUUAAGAGUCAUGAAUUUAAAAUAUAUUUAAUAGUGGGUGUUUAAAGUAAUGUAUUAGGUGUAUUUAGAAUUCUCCUUCGAAACUUUAACGUAUGCAAUUACGUAAUAUAGAACCUUCCACUGUUUCACUCGUAAUUAAGUGUCUCCACAUGCCAUCUACUCAUAAUCGAUAUGAAUUUGAGAUGUAUUUAAUAGUAGGGUGUACAAAGUAAUAUAUAAGGUGUAUUUAAAAUUUCUCUUUGAAACUUUGACGUAUGCAAUUAUGUAACAUAAAACCUUCCAUUGUUUCACUGACAAUUAAAUGUCUUAAUGUGUUAUUCACCCAUAGUUGGUAUGAAUUUGAGAUGUAUAUAAUAGUGAGGUGUAUUAAGUAAUAUAUUAGGUGUAUUUAAAAUUUUUCUUUGAAACUUUGACGUAUGCAAUUACGUAAUAUAGAACCUUAUACCAUUUCACACAAUUAAGUAUCUCAAUGUGUUAUCUACCCAUAGUUAGGAUGAAUUUGAGAUAUAUUUGAUAGUGGGGUGUAUAAAGUAAUAUAUUAUGUGUAUUUAGAAUUUCUUUUUGAAACUUUAACAUAUGCAAUUACGUAAAAUAAAAUCUUUCACAGUUUCACUCACAAUUAAGUGUCAUGAAUUUAAGAUAUAUUUAAUAGUGGGUGUAUAAAGUAAUAUUAGGUGUAUUUAGAAUUCUCUUUCAAAACUUUAACGUAUGCAAUUACGUAAUAUAGAACCUUCCACUGUUUCACUCGUAAUUAAGUGUCUCCACGUGCCAUCUACUCAUAAUCGAUAUGAAUUUGAGAUAUAUUUAAUAGUAGGGUUUAUAAAGUAAUAUACAAGGUGUAUUUAAAAUUUCUCUUUGAAACUUUGACGUAUGCAAUUAUGUAACAUAAAACCUUCCACUAUUUCACUGGCAAUUAAAUGUCUCAACAUAUUAUUCACCCAUAGUUGGUAUGAAUUUGAGAUGUAUAUAAUAGUGAGGUGUAUUCAGCAAUAUAUUAGGUGUAUUUAGAAUUUUUCUUUGAAACUUUGACGUAUGCAAUUACGUAAUAUAGAACCUUCUACCAUUUCACACAAUUAAGUAUCUCAAUGUGUUAUCUACCCAUAGUUAGGAUGAAUUUGAGAUAUAUUUGAUAGUGGGGUGUAUAAAGUAAUAUAUUAUGUGUAUUUAGAAUUUCUUUUUGAAACUUUAACAUAUGCAAUUACGUAAAAUAAAAUCUUUCACAGUUUCACUCACAAUUAAGUGUCAUGAAUUUAAGAUAUAUUUAAUAGUGGGUGUAUAAAGUAAUAUAUUAGGUGUAUUUAGAAUUCUCUUUCAAAACUUUAACGUAUGCAAUUACGUAAUAUAGAACCUUCCACUGUUUCACUCGUAAUUAAGUGUCUCCACGUGCCAUCUACUCAUAAUCGAUAUGAAUUUGAGAUAUAUUUAAUAGUAGGGUUUAUAAAGUAAUAUACAAGGUGUAUUUAAAAUUUCUCUUUGAAACUUUGACGUAUGCAAUUAUGUAACAUAAAACCUUCCACUAUUUCACUGGCAAUUAAAUGUCUCAACAUAUUAUUCACCCAUAGUUGGUAUGAAUUUGAGAUGUAUAUAAUAGUGAGGUGUAUUCAGCAAUAUAUUAGGUGUAUUUAGAAUUUUUCUUUGAAACUUUGACGUAUGCAAUUACGUGAUAUAGAACCUUCUACCAUUUCCCACAAUUAAGUAUCUCAAUAUGUUAUCUACCCAUAGUCAGCAUGAAUUUGAGAUAUAUUUGAUAGUGGGGUGUAUAAAGUAAUAUAUUAUGUGUAUUUAAAAUUUCUUUUUGAAACUUUGACAUAUGCAAUUACAUAAAAUAAAAUCUUUCACAGUUUCACUCACAAUUAAGUGUCAUGAAUUUAAGAUAUAUUUAAUAGUGGGUGUAUAAAGUAAUGUAUUAAGUGUAUUUAGAAUUCUCUUUCAAAACUUUAACGUAUGCAAUUAUGUAAUAUAGAACCUUCCACUAUUUCACUUGUAAUUAAAUGUCUCCACGUGCCAUCUACUCAUAAUCGAUAUGAAUUUGAGGUGUAUUCCUUCCACUGUUUCACUCGUAAUUAAGUGUCUUCACGUGCCAUCUACUCAUAAUCGAUUUGAAUUUGAGAUGUAUUUAAUAGUAGGGUGUAUAAAGUAAUAUAUAAGGUGUAUUUAAAAUUUCUCUUUGAAACUUUGACGUAUGCAAUUAUGUAACAUAAAACCUUCCACUGUUUCACUGGCAAUUAAAUGUCUUAACGUGUUGUUCACCCAUAGUUGGUAUGAAUUUGAGAUGUAUAUAAUAGUGAGGUGUAUUAAGUAAUAUAUUAAGUGUAUUUAGAAUUUUUUUUUGAAACUUUGACGUAUGCAAUUACGUAAUAUAGAACCUUAUACCAUUUCACACAAUUAAGUAUCUCAAUGUGUUAUCUACCCAUAGUUAGCAUGAAUUUGAGAUAUAUUUGAUAGUGAGGUGUAUAAAGUAAUAUAUUAUGUGUAUUUAGAAUUUCUUUUUGAAACUUUGACAUAUGCAAUUACGUAAAAUAAAAUCUUUCACAGUUUCACUCACAAUUAAAUGUCAUGAAUUUAAGAUAUAUUUAAUAGUGGGUGUAUAAAGUAAUAUAUUAGGUGUAUUUAGAAUUCUCCUUCAAAACUUUAACGUAUGCAAUUACGUAAUAUAGAACCUUCCACUGUUUCACGCAUAAUUAAGUGUCUCCACGUGCCAUCUACUCAUAAUCGAUAUGAAUUUGAGAUAUAUUUAAUAGUAGGGUGUAUAAAGUAAUAUACAAGGUGUAUUUAAAUUUUCUCUUUGAAACUUUGACGUAUGCAAUUAUGUAACAUAAAACCUUCCACUGUUUCACUAGCAAUUAAAUGUCUCAACGUAUUAUUCACCCAUAGUUAGUAUGAAUUUGAGAUGUAUAUAAUAGUGAGGUGUAUUAAGCAAUAUAUUAGGUGUAUUUAGAAUUUUUCUUUGAAACUUUAACGUAUGCAAUUACGUAAUAUAAAACCUUCUACCAUUCACACAAUUAAGUAUCUCAAUAUGUUAUCUACCCAUAGUCAGCAUGAAUUUGAGAUAUAUUUGAUAGUGGGGUGUAUAAAGUAAUAUUUAUGUGUAUUUAAAAUUUCUUUUUGAAACUUUGACAUACGCAAUUACAUAAAAUAAAAUCUUUCACAGUUUCACUCACAAUUAAGUCAUGAAUUUAAGAUAUAUUUAAUAAUGGGUGUAUAAAGUAAUGUAUUAGGUGUAUUUAGAAUUCUCUUUCAAAACUUUAACGUAUGCAAUUACGUAACAUAGAACCUUCCACUAUUUCACUUGUAAUUAAAUGUCUCCACGUGCCAUCUACUCAUAAUCGAUAUGAAUUUGAGAUGUAUUCCUUCCACUUUUCACUCGUAAUUAAGUGUCUCCACAUGCCAUCUACUCAUAAUCGAUUUGAAUUUGAGAUGUAUUNNNNNNNNNNNNNNNNNNNNNNNNNNNNNNNNNNNNNNNNNNNNNNNNNNNNNNNNNNNNNNNNNNNNNNNNNNNNNNNNNNNNNNNNNNNNNNNNNNNNNNNNNNNNNNNNNNNNNNNNNNNNNNNNNNNNNNNNNNNNNNNNNNNNNNNNNNNNNNNNNNNNNNNNNNNNNNNNNNNNNNNNNNNNNNNNNNNNNNNNNNNNNNNNNNNNNNNNNNNNNNNNNNNNNNNNNNNNNNNNNNNNNNNNNNNNNNNNNNNNNNNNNNNNNNNNNNNNNNNNNNNNNNNNNNNNNNNNNNNNNNNNNNNNNNNNNNNNNNNNNNNNNNNNNNNNNNNNNNNNNNNNNNNNNNNNNNNNNNNNNNNNNNNNNNNNNNNNNNNNNNNNNNNNNNNNNNNNNNNNNNNNNNNNNNNNNNNNNNNNNNNNNNNNNNNNNNNNNNNNNNNNNNNNNNNNNNNNNNNNNNNNNNNNNNNNNNNNNNNNNNNNNNNNNNNNNNNNNNNNNNNNNNNNNNNNNNNNNNNNNNNNNNNNNNNNNNNNNNNNNNNNNNNNNNNNNNNNNNNNNNNNNNNNNNNNNNNNNNNNNNNNNNNNNNNNNNNNNNNNNNNNNNNNNNNNNNNNNNNNNNNNNNNNNNNNNNNNNNNNNNNNNNNNNNNNNNNNNNNNNNNNNNNNNNNNNNNNNNNNNNNNNNNNNNNNNNNNNNNNNNNNNNNNNNNNNNNNNNNNNNNNNNNNNNNNNNNNNNNNNNNNNNNNNNNNNNNNNNNNNNNNNNNNNNNNNNNNNNNNNNNNNNNNNNNNNNNNNNNNNNNNNNNNNNNNNNNNNNNNNNNNNNNNNNNNNNNNNNNNNNNNNNNNNNNNNNNNNNNNNNNNNNNNNNNNNNNNNNNNNNNNNNNNNNNNNNNNNNNNNNNNNNNNNNNNNNNNNNNNNNNNNNNNNNNNNNNNNNNNNNNNNNNNNNNNNNNNNNNNNNNNNNNNNNNNNNNNNNNNNNNNNNNNNNNNNNNNNNNNAGGGAUAUGGGUAAACAUUGAUAGCCCUUCUAGUCCAUUUUCGCAAGGUUGACUCACAUAUAGUGGCCUCAACACCAUCAGCAAGGCUAAAAAAUUAGUGUUCAACGGAUAUGAUAUUUUGUGUAAGAUGAUCUAUGAAUGGAAUCUUGAUGGUUGGAGACUCCAAGGAUGGGUACUUUGUUACUGUUGAAGGGUAUGCUGUUGAAGGAUUUAGGUAAAUGGUUGAUGACUUAGUGCUGUCUGAAUUGAUGCUGUAUUGGUGAAGUGUCAAGACAAUUAAAAUCUUCGAAUAGUGCCAUCCAUGCAAAUGUAGAUCCAAAUCCAACUUUUGAUUCAUUAGAAACUUUUCCUUUAGAUAUUAUAACUAUAACAAUUAACAAAAAUAAUAAUGAAAUUAGAUUAAAUAAAAAUAACAAUACAAUCAACAAAAUAUAUCAACAACAUGGUGAUUAACAUAUGAUAAUAUAUAUGCAAUAAUAACAUAAAUUAGCAAUAUAUAUCAAGCAUAUCUAAAUACAUGAAUAUCUAAAAAUAAAAAUAUAACAUGUUGUAUUAUAUCUCAAGAAAAUUCACAUGUAAUAAAAUUAAAUGCAUAGAAAUUAGCUACUAAAUAAUUAAGGUUUUCAUAUUAAUCAUUUUCGUUAUCUCUUUUAGCUUCACCUUCUUUAUCUUUUAACUUCUUUUUCAUUUUUUUCUUUGCCUACUUCUUCAUCUUCUCCCUCAUCAUCUUAAUCAUCAUACUCAUCUUGAUCUUUUUUAUUGCCAUCAACUUUUUCUUCAUUUUUUUUUUUGUUUUCUUCUUUAUCUUUUCCCUUGUAAUCUUGAUGAGUAUACUCAUCUUGAUCUUUUUCUUCUUCACUUUCUUUUCAUGCAUAUUUCUCUUUAUCAUGUUGUUAAGAAAAUUAACUUCUUCAUAAUCACCAUUAACAAGAACUCUAAAAUCGUCAAGUUCCUCUAAACAUGUAACAAUUCUUGUAUCAAACACUCUCAUUUCUUGGUAAACUAUUCGUUAAGGUCAAUUAAAUUUCCAUCACAAGCCCUAUAGUCAAUAUACUCUUAGCCUUUAUUCUGAACACAACCCACCAAUAUCAAUGAAGUUUUCUUUUAGAUGAAUCGCUAUUAUAGUACACUUGUUGAACUUGCUGUAGACACUCUAAUUGGUCCGAGCCUAAACCCAUUGGGCCCUGUUUAAUAGGGUCUGGACCUAAACUCAUCGGGUUUGGUUCCAGAGGGUCCAAUUUGUCAAGCCCAACUGUUUAUUUUAUUGUUGUUUAUUAAUUAAUUAAUUUUUGGGUUUUAUCUAUUUUUUUGGUGCUAAAAAAAAGGAGGAGAAUUUUACCGUGAAUGAGGGCAGAAUAGAAUCAUGGUUGGUUUUAAUUUCUAUGGGAUAAACCUAAUGAUGUUGUGAAUUCUUAUCAGUAAUGGACUUAGAGUUAAUUAGGGACUCUCCUAAUUUAUUCUAUAAAAUACCCGUGCUGAUCACAAAAAGGGAACACAAAAACAUAAAAUAUUAGAGAGAUCACACAACAAUCGAAAAUAGGAAUCAAGGGGAUCACAUGCAAAAGCAAAUCACUGAAACACAGCAGGCAGAGAAAAAGGAAAAUUUUUUUUGAGUUUUUUGAAAAACAAUUUUCUAAAAGUUUUUUGGAAAAUUUUUAAAUUCUGAUAAAAUUUUUCAAUGCCGGUUGAAUUUUUCAACAAGUUUUCUAGCGUUGAUUGAAUUUUUCGAUAGGAUUCGCAGAAUCUAGCCUAGAUUUCAACACCGGUGGGAUUUUUUGGUGACUUUUCGAUGAACCAACCCAGAUUUUGACAACGUUUCUAGAAUCCGAUGGAGAUUCAAUCAAAAUUCUUUCAAUUUUAGAGAGAGAUGGAGAGAAAAGAAAGGGAAGAAAAAAGAGCAGGUAAAGAGGAAUAUGAGGAAAAAGAAAGAAUUUGACAUUUUAUAGCGUCACCAAAACAAUCUCGUUUUGGCGUUUAAAAAGACCUAGGAUCCGCGCGUUUUCCAUUCGGGCGACCCGACUCGAAGCGCUGACCUACUUUUGACCCAUCUCCAACUUUUGACUCCAAUCGAGCUGAGUUGCGAGUCGUGUCCCGAGCCGCACCGUUUCAGCCUUUUCCUGUGUCUACAGUCGAACCGUUCCGAGCCACUCCAACCGAGCCGUAUUAUUUUUUGGUAUUUUUUAGGGGUUUUUUUAUUUUGUUUAUUUAUUUUUCUAUGUGUUUUUUUAGUAACUUUGCAUGACUAAAUUUAAUAAACAUAUAAAAAAUAAAUAAAAAAUAAAUUUUGGGAACAAAUAUUAAUUAUCCAAUGAUGAAAUUUAUAGAAAUUUCAAAUCGUAAAUUUAUAUAAAAUUCUUAGGUGAGAAAUUUUCUCUAAAUUUAUCCCAAAUUAUGAAAUAAUUUAGAUAAAAUUUCAAUAACAAUAAUUAAUAUUUAUUUUUUUUAAAAAAAGAAACAAAAUAAAUAAAUAAAUAAAAAUAAAUAAAAAAAUAUUGAUAAAAAUUUUGGAAUUAAAUACAAAUUCCCCAUAUAUAAGAUUCUUAAAAAUUUCAAAUGAUAAAUUUUUAAGAAAUCUCUAGAUGAGAAAUUUUUUUCUAAAUUUGUCCUAAAUUAUGGAAUAAUUUAGAUGAAAUUUCAAUAAAAGUAAUUGUAUUCUUUUCCAAACAAAAAUUUUGGUUGAAAGUAUUUGAUAAUUAUCUAAGGAUGAGAUUCUUAGAAAUUUUAAAAGGUAAAUUUCUAAAAAAUCUCUAGGUGAGAAAUUUUCUUUAAAUUUUCCCAAAUUGUGGAAUAAUUUAAAUGAAAUUUCAAUAAAAAUAAUUGUCAUAUUACUUUCUUUCCAAAAAAAAAAUUUUUAAAUAAGCCCAAAUGAUGAAAAAUUUAGAAAUUUUGAAAGAAAAUAUUUCUAAAUUGACCUAAAUGACGAAAAAUUUAGAGAUAAAAAAAUAAAAAAAUUCUAAAUAAGCACAAAUAGGGGAAAUUUUAGAAAUUCAAAAAGAGAAAAUAUUUCUAAUUUGACCUAAAUUGUAGAACAAUUAGAUAUAUUUUCAAUAAAAAAAUAAAUAAUUAAACCUUUUUUCGAUGACAGAGUCUCUUCAAGGAAACAAAUGGGAUCCUUGAAUUCUCUUAAGGUGAGGAAAUACUUUAGGAAUUCUACCAGAUUGAUGGAAGAUUCCUAUGAAUUAUUUUCAAUAUUUAACAUAAAAAUUUGAAAUCAUUAGAUCAAGACUUUAAGAUAAAUUUAAAAUAAUAUAAUAUCAUCCUUCGGAUAGGCAUCUGAGGGUGCUAUAACCUUUUUCACAUGUAACCAAACUCCCAAACCUUGUUCUGUUUGUAGACCUAAACCUAUUCUUUCAUAAACCCUUAGUCAAGCUUAGAAGCUCCUUAAGAGGAUAGAUUCCUUAGGUGACCAAUCACACCUAGUUAAAAAAUAUUUGUGGUGACUCUAUCUAUUUUCUUAAGUCUAACUAUAGAUUUUUGGAUCUAUAUGUUAUGACAGUUGAGCAAUGCCACUAGGGACAGCCAUAAAGAGUCAUGCUAUAAUUUUUGAAUUUAUUUUAUUCUUCGAUCUAAUGGUUUAAAAUUCUAAUGAUUUGUGUUAGUUGUUGUUGACAUCAAUUUUGUCCAAAAAAAAAAUAAAAAUAAUAAUACAAAAUACAAAACAAAAAGAAGAAGAAUAGUAGAAAAUAAAAAAAAAAUCGAAGAUAGCAGUGGUACCAUCCCCGGCACCACUGCCACGGGAUGGCACCACUGCCACCAGGCCCACCAGCCAUCCCAUACCCUGUUCAUCCUACCCUACUACCAGAAAAUACAUAAGAAAUAAAGAGGCAUGGGGCUCGUGCUUACACCCCAUGCUGAGCCCCAUGCCUUUCCCCCCAAAUAUGCACUGUUGGAGCUCUAUAAAUAGAGCUCCUAGCCAAAACAAAAAAGAUGCAGAUAGAAGGGGAGUAACGCUACAAAAAUAAAUUGCCAAAACACAAAAAAAAUAAUAAAACAAAAAUCACAGUCCUCGCCGAAUCGGCUCGGAACCCAGCACCAAGGAGGUACCUGCAACAAAAAAAAAAAGAUAUUAGUUUGAGUAUUUUUUUUUUAUAAAAAAAAAAAGAGAAGAAGAACAAAAAACUUAGAACCCCAAUCUAUGUCGAUCGAGGUCGUUUUCGACGAAGAUGAGACCAAAUCUGGAAAAAUUGCGUCGAAAGGAAUCUCCUGGUCACUUUUGAAGUUUUCGACCACCGACGACGGCGGACCGAGCGGUGGCCGGCGCGAUGGUUCGACGAUCGGACGACGGGCAACCGGACCUCUCCCCUAGAGCUCUCUCUGCCUCUCUCCCCCUUUUUUUUUUGCAAACAGAAAAUAAUUAACAAAAAAAAAUCUUCAGCUAUAUAUAGGAAACCAAAACUCAAAACGAUGUUGCUUAGAGAAAGACCCAAAACGACACCAUUUUAACCAAGGAGGAUCCCCGCGUGGACCCGGAUCCGACCCGAGAUCCGCGUAAACCGACUCGUUAACCUGUUUCAGCCAACCGAACCAGUUUAGACGAACCGUCAGUAAUCAAUCUGAACUGUCAGAUCGCCAAACCACUGAUCGAACCGAAAAUCGAUCGACCGAUCCAAAUUAGCGUUGACCAGACCGUUGAUCGGUCCGGUUCAGGUAAAAAAAAAAUUUUUAAUUUUUUUUAAUUUUUUAUAUUAUUAUUUUUGUUAUUUUAAGUAUAUUUUUUAUAUUUAUGCAUGAUAAAUUUCUAAAUUUGUUAGAAUAAAAUUCUCAUUGUUUUAAUAAUAAUAAAAUUGAAAACAAAUAAAAACGAUGAAAAAUAUAUGUUAAAAAUGUUCAAAUAUAUAUAUUUAUUAUUAUUAUUAUUUUUCCUGCCUAGAUGUUGGAGGGAAUAAAAAAAUAUUUUUUAAAAAAAUAAUUCCACCUAGAUGUUGAGGAAUUAUUAUUAAUAAAUUUUCAUACAAAAAAAUAUAAGAAAAUUUUAAAUUAAUUUUUAAAAAUCAUUAAAAUCGAACUUGCUUCGAAAAUCCACCUAGAUGUUGGGGAUUUUUAGAGAUGCUCGUAUUUUCUUAAAAAUGAAACCUUAAACACUAAUUUUUAAUUUUCAAAAUCCUAGGUUUCUAAAACCCCUAAAAUCCAAAACCUCCUAAAAUCCAAACCCCUAAAAAUCUAAAAUCUCUUAAAUCUGAACCCCUAAAAUUCCAAACCCCAAAACCCAAACCCUAAAAUCUCUAAACUCUAAAAUCAAAACCCUAAAUCUUCCAUAUCCUAAAAUUCAAGCCUUAAAACCCUCUAAACCUUAAAAUCAAAUCUUCAAAACCUCUACUUAAGCCCUUACUCAAAACUUCCUAAAAAUCCUAAGGACACAUAUGAAAAUUUCAUUUGAAACAAUUUGUUUCCAAAUGUCGCCUAGAUGAUGGGGUAUUUAGGAAAUUUUACUUCGUUAAGUCUUUUCACACGAUUUCUUAAUUCGCAUUAAUAAUAAGAUUAUUAAAUAAGAAGUAUAAUAGUAAAUUGGGAUCUUAAAUAUAAACAGUCACACCUAAGCUCUGCCUAGAUGUUGGAGAGUCGGGGUGACCUCAUUAUACUUAAAAAUCCAACUUUAAAAUUGCAUCUCAUCCUACAUAACAUUCAUUGGCAUGCAUACGUUAGCAUGUUAUUAUCAGUAUUUAUUUGCAUUAUUCUGUCUUUAAUUUUUACUUACUACUUGGUAAUAAAAUAUUUUAUAAUAAAAAAAAGAAUAAUACUUUUAAAAAAAAUUGUGAUAUUAUAAAAUAAAAUAAAAAUAACAUUUCGAAAGAAAUAAGUCUUGGUACUCUGCCUAGAUGUUGGAGAGUCACUAACAAUUAUUUUCUAUAAAGAUUGUUAUUUCUUUUUAAGGAUUAUUAUGUAAAAUCUUAAGCGAAAAGAGCUAUUUUAAAUUCUGCCUAGAUGUUAGAAAAUUUUAAGAUAAUUCAUUAACUUAAAGAUUUUCUCAAUAUUUCUAAAUAAAAAUUUUUAGCAAAAUUUUAUUUUUUUCAAAUGAAAGGAAUUAGUGUUAAAUUUCAAAUUGAAACCAUUUUUAUCCAACACUGAAAAUAGCACGUAAUUAAAUGGUACCAAUUUUUGGGCGUUGUGGGGGUGCUAAUCCUUCCCCAUACGUAACCGACUCCUAAACCCAACAUGUUUUUUGGCAGAUCAAAAUUUAUCUUUUUGAUAAACUUUAAACUCGUUUUUAUAGUUUUAUUAAGAAGAUAAACUUUUUGGUGGCCAAUCACACCCUAACAAAGAUUGGUGGCGACUCCAUUUUAUUUUUCUCAAUUUUAAAAACUCAAUUUACGUUUGAUGGUCCCAAAAUCGUUACGACAGUUGUUUACCAACAUUUUUGUCUUUUUUUUUUUGUCUUUUAUUUUUGGGGCAUGAAACCUAUAUGUUCAUUCCCACACAUUAUCACAUGUAUUUGUAUUACAUAAGCUCUAUACCCGAGUUUCGCCCCUUUUAUGAGGGAGUAAAGUACUUACGCUCUUGUGAGAUGAUAAUCUUCACAAUGGCUAACGAAAUACUCUCACUUAAAUUGAAUCAUUUUCGUUAGUAGCCUAUGAUGGGUGAAGAUUGGACUGCCUUACUAGUCUGUGAUGGACGAUGAUGUAAAGAACAAUUUGGAAACCUUGGGUGGUCAAAAUCUCCUAACCCUGCAUAUAGUUUACCCUUAAAAGGGCCAGCCUUAGGAUAGAGCCUUUUUUACCCAAUGAUAAAUGUAACCCAAAGGUAAGACAUAAGAAGAAACAAUUUGUGAUCUAACCAGUUUGUUUAAUUUGUGCAUUUGUAUCAUUUUAGCUAGUGCUUGCAUUAUCAUGUCAUACAUCAUUUUCAUUGUCACAUAUAACAUUGUGCAUUUGCAUCACUUUCAUUUCAUCCAUAAAAUUAACCAUUUUGUUUGUUUGACCUUGUGCAUUUGCAUUAUCAUGUCAUGCAUCUGCAUCAUUUUCAUAUUAGAUUUCAUCCAUGAAAAUAUACAUUUAAUUCAAACAUCAACAUAUAAUGCAUAAAGCAUAGCAUCUCAUUUUUUAUCAUAAUUGCAGUAUCAAGAUUCAAGGAUAGCCACACCAAACAAAAACCCCACUCACCAAUAUAACACAAAAGCUCGAGCCAGACAAAUGGAACAAGAAAAUUUUAAUCAUUUCGAAAGGAUAGAAAAAGCUCAAGAGAAGCUAAAAGAAGAGUUAAGUAAGAUUUUGGAGGCCUUGAACAAGUUGAAUAAAGGGAAAGGGAUAGUGGAAAGUACUAACCAACAAGAUCAUCCAUCACAAGAGGUGGAUGACCUACUAUACCCUUCUGAUUUUGGGCCACAUUAAGCCCAACUAGCACAAGGUCCACUAUCACAAUAGUUCACUUAUCCUAUAGGGUACACUUAUCUUAGGAUGCCAUCAGCUUCAAAUCUAAGGCAGUAUUAGAGUUAUGUAAAUCAUGCAUUUAUUGAAAAAGUAGUAGAACCACUACCAGUUCCUAAUUUGGAUGAUCUAAAAGAAAAAAAAAAGUUGAAGCCUAAGGAGAAGGAGAUUUUAAAAGCCUCAAAAGUUGAACAAAAGAUGAAUUUGUUUGAAGAAAAAUUAUGAGCAGUGGAAGGGGUUGAUUUUUAUGGUUUCGUAGAUGCUAUUGGGCUUUGUUUAGUCCCAGAUAUGGGUAUUCCACCAAAAUUCAAGGUGUCAAAAUUUGAUAAGUACGAUGGUACAAAAUACCCAAAGACUUAUAUUACCAUGUACUAUCAAAAAAUGAUUUUCCAUGCUAAUAAUGAAAAGCUAUUAAUGUAUGUGUUCCAAGACAGCCUCACGGGCUCUGUUACUAAGUGUUAUAUCCAGUUGGACAUGAUUCGUAUUCGUUCUUAAAGCAAUAUGAGCCAUGCCUUCAUUAAUCAGUACUGACAUAUCAUAAAUUUAGCCCUUAAUCGCUUGUCUUUAUAGAAUAUGGAAAAGAAUGUGACUAAGUCAUUUAAAGAAUAUGCCAAGAGGUGGAGGGAUAUCGCUUCUCAGGUGCAGCCUCAUCUGACUAAAAAAAAGACCACGAUGUUAUUUGUUAGUACUCUGAAAUCUUUUUAUUAUGAAAAGAUGAUAAGGAAUAUAAUAAAAAAUGUUACUGAUAUGGUGAUCUCAUGUGAAAUCAUUGAGAAUGCCAUUGAAAAUGACAAGUUAAAAAGAAAAGAAGCCAAAAAGGUGUUAAAGAAGAAAAAGACUGAAGCUCAAGUUGUGAGUUUUGACAAAUAGUUCAUGAGUUAUCAACCAUAUCUAGCACAAAGUUAUGCCCCAUACUAUCCUAUUGUGAACAAUUGUCAUCCUACCCAUAUCAGUCUUAUCAUAGCCAUCCUACCCAUCAACAUACCAACCCAUUUUCAGCCCUUAAGCUCUCACAUAUAGCCUUACCAUCCAACCUCCUAUAAAAUCCUAAAUUCCCCCUACUAGCCCAUCAAGUGGUUCAUAAGAGUAACGAACUACUAAAAAAAAACUCGUAUUUGAUCUAAUCCUCAUGACUUACACAAAGUUAUACUGAGAGCUUUACAAUAACCAUUUGAUUACCUUCAGUCACGUGGAGCCACUCAAGCCACCCUUUCCUAAAUGGUAUAAUUAUAUAGCUCACUAUAACUAUCCCUAUGGAAUUGUUGGCCAUUCCGCAAAGAAUUGCACUACUCUAAAGCACAAGGUGCAAUGAUUGAUAAAGGAUGAAAUCAUAAACUUUGACUAAAGAGGAGCAACAACACUUAAUGUUAGUGACAAUCUAUUGUCAAAUCACAACGUCAAUGCUUUAAGUGAGAAUCAAAAACACGUUGAUCCAAAAAAGCCUAGAGAGUUGUAAUGAAUCAGGGGGCCAGAUGUUAAGCAAGAUCCUUCAUUUGAUUGUAUGGGGACAUAAUUUUGAAAAAAAAAGAUGUUAGGACUAGUUGAAUACUAUUUAUCAUUCUAGGAUUUCUUUCAAAGUAAUGUUAGGAUUUCUUUUAGGCAAUAAGAUUUUAUUUGUUAUUAUUUUAAUAAAAAGAAGUUAAUGCAUUUCAUUACAUUUUCUCUUUCAUACCAUUGUUCCAUUCUUUGUCACUUUUCAUAACUUUUCAUUCCCAUUUUUGAAUUCUAAAUAAUGAAUGUUUAGACAAGGACAACAAUAAUUUUAGAAUUUAAUUUUGAGAACUCAUUCACAUUGAUUUUAAGAAAUUAUUUGAGUAAAAAAAAAACAAGCUGCUGAUAGAUUUGAAAUAGAUAUGUGCAAUCAUUUAUAAAGGUCCAUGAGCAUGUUUUUGCUCAAUAGAUGAUGUUCAAGGAAAGCAUUCACAUUUGAAAGAAAAAUGGUCAUCUUUCUUUUAUCAUUUGAAAAACUAUUCAUUGCUACCCCUUUGAGCCUAUUAUGAUUUCCUUUUCUAAAGAACCCUACCCAAGGAUCACUCUCCGCACUGGUCGGUAAUUUUUGAAAAAUGAGACAAAAGAUCAUAAAAAUCUUAAAGAUAGAAAGCAAAAAAAAAAAAAAAAAGCAAACAAAGAAAAUAAAGAAAAAAAAAUGCCAUACAUGAAUUGAGGCAAAGUAAUGAGAGUUUUUUUAUGAGGAAUGAGAUGAAUGAAAAGGAAAAAAUAGUGAAAUGAAAUGAAAAAAGGCCAAAUGCUAAGUUGUUUUAAAUGAUGAGAAAUAAUCCUUUGGUUGUGAACCCUUUAAACACAUGUUUUAAGCCUAUUUUAUCCAUUUUUUCAUGACCCCUUACCGUGGCCUACAUUACAAUAUUGAAAAGUUCAUUUGGAUCAAGUGUGAUGCUCAAAUUGAAUGAUCAUAUGUUGAGCUAAGGCAUAUUUGUGGUGGAACAAUGGAAUCAUACUACAUUGCUUUAGAGAUUGAUGUGUGGAAGAUAUGAACAAUGAAUGACAGAUGAGAAAAAAUGAAUAAAAUAAAAUAAAAAAUUAAAAAGAAGGGAAAAAAUUAAAAAUUAAAAAUAAAACAAAGAAAAAAAGAGAAAAAAAUGGAAAAGAGAGAAAAGAAAGACUCAAAUCGAAAAUCCAAAAAAAAGAUUUGGGUAGGCAAAUCUCUGAGCUGAAAAUGGAUGAGCAAUUCAAAUAUAUGAAAGAUCAAAUAUAUCUGAAUAUCCUUCAAGGCUGGAGUAAAGUUUGAUGAGCUUAAAAUGAUUUUGAUAGUCAAUGGAAUGAGUUUUUGAAAAAAAAUCUUGGAUUAAUAUUCAUUAUUUUGAUAUACUAUUCAUCCCAAUGACAUACACCCAACUGAUUUUUUUCCAUGUGUUUUUACAUCAAACUCGUUCCUCAUUGUUUACCUUUAUCCCAAUUCAUCUUGUACUCUCUUAUUGUUGCAUCCCAGAAUAAAUCGAAGACAUGUAUGAUUGCAUUAUAUUUGUCAUGAUUUGAAAUGAUGAUGAAUGAAUGACAAUAUGCAUAAAAGAUUCUUGAAUUCCUUUGAAAAAAAAUCCUGAAUGAUCGAGUGUAAAAAAUUGAAAAGAUGGUAGAACUUAAAAAGAUGUCACAUGGGAUGGCCAAUGAUGAAUAUAGUGAUGGAUUGCUCAACAAAAUGAAUAGAGGGCAAAUUUUGAAAAGAUGAGAUAUAACCAAGUGAUGAAUAUGGGAUUGAAUUGGUCAACAUAACCUAUGAGUUGUGAUCGAAUAAUGACAAUAAUGUUGUUAAGUGGAUAAAAUUUGUUCUAAAAUGGUUGGUGCUAAGAAACCAAGUGAUGGAGAACAAAAUUUGUUCUAAAGUGAGUAACACUGAGAAACCUAUGAGUGAUGACCCAAUGAUGGAGGACAAAAUUUGUUUUGAAAUUGUUAAUGCUGAGAAGCCUAUGAAUGGUGAUCAAGUGAUGAAAACAAUAAGGAACCAUUGAUAAAACUUUUUCAAAGUGUUGAGAAGCUAAACAAAGAGAAAACAUGAGAUGGUGGAGUUUUAAGGAUCAUAUUACCAUAUUUUGAUUAGAAUUUCUUGCAUUGACAUCCGUGUUACAUGCAUUGCAUUUGCAUUAUUUUUUUGAGAAUGUUUAAAACUUUGGUUUGGAUAUACAUUUGCAUUAUGCAGUAAACAUUUGAAUCAUGGUUAAGAAUAUGACAUUGUGAGAAUCUAGAUUGUUGCAUUUGCAUCAUUAAGAAAGCAUUUGCAUCAUUGAUCAUGACAUUCAAUACAUACAAAAUUUUUACUUUGGUGAAAGUUUGAAGCUCAUCUAAAAAAGAAAUUUUGAAUAUUUUAAAAAAGUCUUGAUUUUCAAAUGAGAAUCUUUUAGAUGUGAAACCCUGAAAUUUAUUGCAUGUGAGCCAUUGAACUAGAAUGAGAGGUUUUAAACUUUUGGAUGUGAAUCUCCAAAAUUCAAAUGAAAAGCUUUAAACUUUUUGGAUGUGAAUCCCAAAUUUAAGUGAACAUUUGAACUCAAAUGAGAAACUUUGAACUUUUGGAUGAGAAUCUCUAAAAUUCAAAUGAGAAUCUUUAUAUGUUGGAUGUAAGUCUUGCAAUUUGUAAAUGCGAAUCUUGAAAUCUUACAAAUAUAAAUUCUUGCAUAUUUGUAAUUUUGUGAAUCAAUUUUUUAUGAAAUUGAAACUAUGAUAAUCAAAUUUUAGUAAAUUCUUUGAAGCUGAAAGGUUUUUGCGAAUUUGAACCUUUGAAUUUUGAACUCAAAUUGUGAAUUUUUGAGUUUUCAUCAGGCAUGAUCUAUGACUCCUCUGGACAUGAUUGUUAAGGAGAAUUUUAUUUUUUAAAAGUUGUGGUGCCUUUAUUUAGAGGAGCAUUUAAUUUUUCAAAGUUGUGGUACCUCUAUUUAGAGAAGCAAUUUAUUUUUCCAAAGUUAUGGUGCCUCUGUUUAGAUGAGCAAUUUAUUUUUUCAAAGUUGUGGUGCCUCUGCUUAGAGGAUCAUUUUAUCUUUCCAAAGUUGUAGUGCCUCUGUUUAAAGGAGCAAUUUAUUUUUCAAAAUUGUGGUACCUCUGUUUAGAGAAGCAUUUAUUUUUCUCAGAGUCGUUGAGCCUCUGUUUAGAGAAGCUUUGUUUAUCUUUUCAAAAAAAAAUGAAAAAAGAUGAAUAUGUAAGGAUGAUCAUAUGCAGGGUGUCUACGCCUUUGCAUAAUUCCUAUUGUAUAUGAAAUACAUAAAGAGAGAUAGUUGUAGACACUCUAAUUGAUCCACACCCAAACCCAUUGGGCCCAGUUUAAUAGGGUCUAGACCUAAGCCUAUCGGGUUUGGUUCCAAUGGGUCCAAUUUGUCUGGUCCAAAUAUUUUUUUUAUUAUUUUUUUUUUAUUAAUUUAUUAAUUUUUAGGUUUUAUCUAUAUUUUUGUGCUAAAAAAAAGGGGAGAAUCUUGCCAUGAAUGAGGGCAUAAUAAAAUCAUGGUUGGUUUUAAUUUUUGUGGGAUAAACCUAAUGAUUUUGUGAAUUCUUAUCAACAAUGGACUUAUAGUUAAUUAAGGACUCUCCAAUUUAUUCUAUAAAAUACCCGUGCUGAUCACAGAAAUGGAACACAGAAACAUAAAAUAUUAGAGAGGCAGAUCACACAAUAAUCAAAUACAAGAAUCAGGGGGAUCACACGUAAAAGCAAAUCAUAGAAACAUAAUAGGUAGAGAAAAAGGAAAAAAAAACUUGAAGUUUUUUGAAAAAAACAUUUCUGGAAAUUUUUUGGAAAAUUUCCAAAUUUCAGUGAAAUUUUUUACACCGAUCAAAUUUUUUGGUGAGUUUUCCGACAUCAGUUGAAUUUUUUGAUAGUUUUUCUAAAAUUUGGCUCAGAUUCCAGCGUCGAUCGAAUUUUUUGGUGACUUUUCGAUGAACCAACCCUAAUUUCGAUAACAUUUUUUAUAAUCCGACGAAGAUUCAAUCGAAAUUCAUCCGAUUUUAGAUAGAGAGAGAGGAGAGAGAAAAAAAAGGAAGAGAGAGUGUGGGGAAGGAAGAAUCUAAGGAAAAAGAAGGAAUUUGGCCUUUUAUAGCAUUACCAAAAUGAUGCCUAAUUUUGGUAACAUUUUUUAGAAUCCGACGAAGAUUCAAUCGAAAUUCAUCCGGUUCUAAAGAAAGAGAGGGAGAGAAAGAAAGGGAAGAGAGAGUGUGGGGAAGGAGGAAUCUAAGGAAAAAGAAGAAAUUUGGCCUUUUAUAGCGUUACCAAAAUAAUGUCGUUUUGGAGUUUAAAAAGACCCAAGAUCAGCACGUUUUCCAUUUGGGCGACCCGACUCGAAGCGCUAACCCGUUUUCGACCCGUCUCCAACUUUUGACUCCAGUCGAGCCAAGUCACAAGCUGUGUCUUAAGCCGCGUCGUUCCAGCCUCCUCCUGUGUCCGCAGCCAACCUGUUUUGAGCCACUCCAGCCAAGUCGUAUUGUUUUUUGGUAUUUUUUAUAGUUUUUUUUUAGUAUUUGUUUAUUUAUUUAGUAUUUUUGCAUGACUAAAUUUAAUAAAAAAUAUAAAAAUAAAUAAAAAAUAAAUAUUAGGAAUAAAUAUUAAUUAUCCAAUGAUGAAAUUUAUAGAAAUUUCAAAUGGUAAACUUCUAUAAAAUUUCUAAGUGAAAAUUUUUCUCUAAAUUUAUCCCAAAUUAUGGAAUAAUUUAGAUACAAUUUUAAUAACAAUAAUUAAUAUUUAUUUUCAAACAAAAAAACAAAAAUAAAAUAAAUAAACAAUAUUGAUAAAAAUUUUGGAAUUAAAUACAAAUUACCCAAUGAUAAGAUUUUUAGAAAUUUCAAAUGGUAAAUUUAUAAGAAAUCUUUAGGUGAGAAAUUUUUUCUAAAUUUAACCCAAAUCGUAAAAUAAUUUAGAUAAAAUUUCAAUAAAAGUAAUUGUAUUAUUUUCCAAAUAAAAAUUUGGGUUGAAAGUAUUUGAUAGUUAUCUAAGGAUGAGAUUCUUAAAAAUUUUAAAUGGUAAAUUUUUAAGAAAUCUCUUAGUGAGAAAUUUUCUUUAAAUUUAUCCCAAAUGGUAUAAUAAUUUAAAUGAAAUUUCAAUAAAAAUAAUUGUUAUAUUAUUUUCUUUCCAAAAAAAAAGAAUUUCUAAAUAAGCCUAAAUGGUAAAAAUUUUAAAAUUUUCAAAAAAAAAAUAUUUUUAAAUUAACCCAAAUGGCAAAAAAUUUAGAGAUAAAAAAAUUUUAAAAAAUUUCUAAAUAAGCCCAAAUGGUGAAAAUUUUAAAAUUCAAAAAGAGAAUAUUUUUAAUUUGACCCAAAUAGUAGAGUAAUUAGAUAUAUUUUUAACAAAAAAAUAAUUAAACAUUUUUUUGAUAACAAAGUAUCUUCAAGGAAACAAAUGAGAUCUUUGAAUACUCUUGAGGUGAUGAUAUAUUUUUUGAAAUUCUACCAGAUUAAUAGAAGAUUCCUAUGAAUUAUUUUCAAUAUUUAACAUAAAAAUUUGAAAACAUAACUUCCCCACAUGUAACCGAACUCUCAAACCUUGUUCUAGUUUGUAGACCCAAACCUAUUUUGUUAGGGACUUUUAGUCAAGUUUAGGAUCUCUUUAAGAAGAUAGAUUCUUUAGGUGGCCAAUCACACUCAAUUAAAAAAGAUUAGUGGCAACUCCAUCUAUUUUGCUAAGUCUAGCUAUAGAUUUUCGGAUCUAUAUGUUAUGACACUUGCAUAGCUAAAACAAAUUGUUUCUUAUUGAUAAGUAUUGACUUGUAGUUAACUUCAACAAGACCAUAAUGGGGAUCUGCACGAACAUUUUUUCUAUAUCAAACUAAUGACAUUUAAAAAAUAAAAGCCUAUUGCCAAUCCUAAAAUAUUUUAACCAAAUAGUAUCUACCAAGAUACCAAAAAAGUCGCAUUCAAAAUAAUUUUAACAACUUUUUUUCAUGCCUACAACACUAUUCAAUGUUUUUCAAGUUUGCCCAUAGCCCAAUCUAUGACACUUGACAAAAUAUCAUUGGUAACACUUGCUACAUGUCUUGAUUCAUGAAAAAGGUUAAUGAUAGGAGGAUCAAUCUCAUUAGCAGGUUCUUAUACCUAAAAAAUGUAAGUAAUAAAUAAAAAUUCUUGUAUAGAAAUAUAGUGUCACAAUUAGUAUAGUCUUAAUCUGAAUAAUUGUUGUUAAUUUCGUUUCAAUACCAAACGUAUCGACUAGUGUGCUCCAAUUAUACCAAAAUACAGUACAAUUAAGAGUAGUUUUGCAUAUCAAACUUGGUACUUGGUAAUACCAAUUAUUUUCAUUUGUUUCAAUUAGUUUCGAUGAAUUUCAAUUGAAUAAUUUGUUUCGCCAAUACGUGGAUAUAAAAUAUAUUUUGUAAUUUUCAACUUGUCUUUUAUUUUUUGACUAUUUUUAACCCAAUAAAAAUAAAACUAAUGAAUAAAAUAAUCCUUGAAAGUUAGGGUUUCCUAUUUUUACAACUUUUUUUUUUCCAUUUUAUUUUUCCAAACCAAAAUUUAUAAAUAUUUCAAUCUCUUUUAAAAAAGCAAUUAUGCUCCCUUUUUAAAAUUUAAGAAUCCUAAAGUUAAAAUUAAAAUUUUUUUUAUCUCUUUAUUUUUAUCUUAAUAUAUUUUUUACAUGAAAAAGAAAACUGCUUAUGUAACUAUCAUAUGAUUAGAUUAAGUGUUUUAAAAUAUCAUGAUAAAUUGAUGAUAUUAUUUGUUAUUGUUAUAUUUUUAAACUUAUUUUAUGGUUUUUUAAGAUGUUAUAUAUUUAUUUUGCAUAUUAUUAGUAAUAUUAUUAUGUAAAAAUUUAUAUAUAUUUAUAAAUAUAUUUGUAUUAAACCCAAAAAUCCUAAAUAAUAUGUUAAAAUAACUAGUACUGGCAUACACCAUUUUUUUUAAGAAACCAAAAUGUUGUGCAGUAUGAUAUUAGCAACCUUGAUUUGAACUAUCAAUUUACAAAUUGUUUAAACAAUUUCUUAAAUCUUACUUCACAAACUUUCUCCAAUUCCUCAUAAUUCAUUAACGAUGCAUCCUUUUUUACAACCUCAUCAAAUAUCAUAUCAUUAUAGUAUAUGAGUAUGACUAGUAAUAUUGUAUAAUAAUACUCAGUAUCGUCAUGGUUUAAGGUUAAUAUAUAUUUACUCAAUAAAUAAGAGCAUCACAUCGUAGUUUAUUAAGAUAUAUAUUUUUAUUGCAUCAUACUCAACUUCAUCUAGAUAUCAAGCAUUAUUCUUUGAUGGAUCAAAAAGCCACUCGAGAUGAAUGAAAAUUAAAAGACGUCUCAUAAGAUACAUUUUUUCCCAUCAUCAUUAUGUGGCACCUAAUUGAAUAUUAUUUGCACAUUAGGUUCAAAAUAUAAGGCGUAAAAUGAUCAAUUUCCUCCAUAAUAUAGUCUCACAAAUUGACUUGUCAACACAUGCUAGAUUUUUAACUUUUUUCUUGAGAUGAUGCAAAAACCUAAUCAUCGUUAUUGAAAUAAAAUUGAUUAACUAUAUUUGCUUUUAUUCAACGUAUAUUAGAAAAGUGUUAUUCAUGAAAUGUACUACCUCCCAAAUAGAUACAUCAAUUUAUAAUAGAUAGGUCCACCUACUACUAUGCCUCGUAUGGUAAGUGAAUCAGAAGAUACUUCAUUAAAUCAAAGAAACCUGUGAAGAAGAUCUUCUCUAAUUUUUAAAUUAUUUUAACAAUAUUUCUUUGCAAUAAUUCCAUCUAAGGUAUAUGUAAUUCAAUUGAGCAAAUAUCUCUAAAAAAAAUGGGAUAACUUAUUUAUUGCAUCCCAAAUUGAGUUAGGCAGUGAGUCACGAAAGGUAAUAAGAAGUAACCGUUGCAUAAAAAUAUGAUAAUCAUGGUUUCUUAUCCCAUCAGACUUGUCUUCCUAAACAUUAGAACACCAAGCUAUAUUUGACACAAACCCGUUAGAAAGUUUCAACUAUUUCUCCCAAACACACACUAGCUUUUGAUCCUCCUUGCUUAAAGUAUAUGAUGCUUUGGGCUUGAAUAUCCUACCAUUGCUUUCUACCAAUUCGAAUUUCCUUCAUCUAUAGAGGAAUGCCAUCUCCAAUCUAGCAUUGAUGUUUUUUUUUGUUUUAUCUUUGACAUCCAUCACUAAAUUAAACAAAUUAUCAAACAUAUUUUUUCUAAAUAUGCAUGACGUCCAAAUUAUGAUGAAUACGAUUGGUGUGCCAAUAAGGUAACUCCUAAAAUAUACUCUUUUUUUCCCAACAAUGAGUUACAGUGUAACCUUUCAGCUUUUAUUCAAAGCAUUUUGUGACCAAUGUAUUUUUUUUUUACAAUCAAUUUUUCUUAAAACUUCUUCACCUAACAAUCUUUGAAUUUGAUGAUCAUGCUUAACUUUUUAGGAAAAUUUAUCUCUUUCUUUCCUAAAAGUAUGGUUAAGAGGUAAAAGCUGCUGAUGAAUUAAUAAAAAUCAAGGCUUUUUUCCACAAUUCAAUCUGAAUGCCUUUAUAUGUUCAAUGCAAUAAAGACAUGAUAAUACUCCUUUGUUACUCCAUCCAAUAACAUGUCAUAUGCAAGAAAGUCAUUAAUUAUCCAUAAUAGUGCUACCCUUAAUAAAAAAAAUGUUGUUUCGUAUGAGAAUUACAACUUUCAACACCAUUAUUCUACAAUAUUUGUAGCUCAUCAAUUAAAAGACAUAAAAAAACAUUUAUGUUCUGUGAAUGACUAUUUUUUCCCAAGAUGAUCAUACUAAAGAAUAAAUAUGCUUGUUUCAUGGACAUGUAUGAAGCUAAAUUGUAUCCAGUGAGCAUAAUUGGUUAAUAACAAUAAGGUUUUACAUCCAAGCCAAAUGAACAAAAAUCACCGGCAUAGAAACCCAAUCUCACAUUUUAAAGUUUAGCUGCAAAAGAUUUAUAUGAAUGAUUAGAAUGCUGCUAAGCCUUAUUGUCAACUGAGUGAAUGAGCACUCCAUAAAGACUUCGAUUAUGCACAUGUUGUGUCAUAGACUCUGCAGUUAUUGUUAUAUAUAAAGCCUUUGAAGCCUUAGUAUGAGUGGCAAGUAACACAAAACUUUAUAAGAAAUUUUCUUUUCCCUACCUCUAUCUGUCUUGCUCGACUUAUAUUGAGAAUGAUCACAUAUCGAAUAAUAUAAAUCAAUAUUCUCUUUAUAAAACACGUAUUUGUUCUUACAUAAAUGUAUUUUUACUAAGUCGAGACCAAAUUUUGCAAUCAUUCUUUACUUCUUGAUGAUUGACCUUCUUACACUUCUCCUUAUGCCUACCACUUCAUGUAAUUAAUACUAAAACCUUUAUAAUAAAGGUGUUUACACACAUUAUCGACUUGAUAAAAUCAUUAAUUUGAUAUAUGAUGCAAGGACACUUAAUUUUAUCUCCACUAACAUACAUCAUUUAAGAAAAUGCAAAAUUUAUAAACUCUUUAACUCCUGACAAAAAACUCAUUGAUAGUAAACCUAUUUACAUUUAACCGAUGAUACAUCCAAAAUCUAUCUCUAUCCAUUUUACAAGCCCGAUUGAUUUAACAAGAUCAUUAAUGAUUUCAAAUUGUUCAAAACAAAUUAGAUUUAUUAGAAAUUCAUAUCAAUAAAGAAACCUAAUUAAUGAUCUAGACGUAUUUUUAUAUUAACUCCAUAAAUUUCACAAUGAUUAUUAAAAUUUCACAAAUUUCACAUAAAUUGCACAAAGUUAACUUUAAUUUAAUAAAUUAAAAAUUAAUCUGACAAUUCCACAAAAAUUUUACAAAAUUUCAUAAAUUCUAAAUAUGUAUCACAAUUUCUAUAAUAGUUCCACACAAAUUCCACAAAUUCCAAAUAUACAUCACAAUUUUCAUAAUAAUUCCAUGCAGAUUCUAGUAAUUGUACAAAAAUUUCAUAAUCUUGUCAACAAUUUCACAUUUUACUAACAUAACCGUAAACUAACAAAUUGUUAACAUAACAAUUUCACAUUUACAAAUAAUUGUAACAAUUCAUAACCUAAUAACAUAUUAAUAAAACCUAAAAACAAUUUUAAAAUGAAAUGUUAUAAAGAAAAAGGAAAAAAUUAUUGAAAAACAUUCCAAAAAACAAAGCUAAUAAGAGAUAUACCUCAAGAAUUUUUAGGCUGUGAGAUAAGGAAAAUUUAGGGAUUCAAUUUAAAGGUAAGGACUUAGGCUAACUAGCCAUUGUUAUGUUGAAAAACAAGGGAGAAAAGGGGUGUGGGAGGGGUUGAUUUGCAGUCAAUUUGGAGUUAUUUUGGCGGAUUUUGGAAAAAAUCCUAUCAAGGAAAUUAUAGGGAGGCAUUCGGUGGUCGAAAGAUGUAGCCAUGCGUAGGGAAGCACUAUUACAAGUGGAGGUUGAAGGGUCAAGAGAGGAGAAGAGGAAAAGAAAAGAAAAAGAUAAAAGGGAAAAGAAGGAGAGAGUUGGGUGGGGAUUUAAAUUAAUUGACUUUUAGCAAUGGAAUUCUAUUCCUAAUAAUAAUUGGAACAAUUAGCGAUGAAAAAAAAUCCAUCCUAAAUUUCAUCACUAAUGUAUUUUUAUAAAAUAAAAAAAUUUAAUUUAAUUAAUUUAAUUUUAAAAAUAAACAAUUCACAAUUUCAAAACAAGAAAAAGAAAACUAAAGACAUUACCAACAUAAUAUUUUCGUCACUAAAUACUUACUAGGAGAUUUAACAACGAAAUUCAUUUUUUAAAUUUGUUGCUAAAUUUGGCGUAUAGCACAAAUACUUGGUGCCAACACUCACUAAUAGAUUUAAUGACCAAAUUAAGAUUCUGUCAUUAAUAUAUGGUCUUUAAUAACAAAAUUCCAAUGUUAAUUUCGUUGAAGACUAAUGCCCUAACUUUUAAAUUCAUCAUUAUUCUGUCAAUAAAAAAAACUUUUAACAAUGAAAAUUUUUUAUUGCUAAUUUUUCGUUGUUGAUUAAUUGUUUUCUUAUAGUGAAUAAACACAAAAGAGAUCAUUUGUUUAUUUAAUUAUUAGCUAUUGUUGAUAUUCGAAUGUAAUCUUUAAAAUUAGAUUUAAUAAAUUAAUUGAUUCAGCUAACUAGGGUAAAUUCUUUUCGGGUCAUUUUUGUUAAAGUGGGUCAUCCCACAUUUAAUAAAUAUCCAAUUUCUUAUAGUCUUAUAUUCAAGUUAGGUUCCUUAACUUAUAGCCAAUUGGUAGUAAAUUAGAUAUUUAAUAUGGUAUCAGAGCUAAGAUUUUCUUUAUGUGCUCUUUCCUAAUUUAUAAUGUAGUAGGCUUUUUUCAUCUUCACCUACACGUGAUAAGAGCCUGUUAAAGUGGGUUAUCCCAUAUCUAAUAAAUAUUCAAUUUCUUAUAGUCUUGUAUUCAAGUUAAACACCUUCACUUAUAACUAAUUGGUAGUAAAUUAGAUACUUAACAAUUUUUCAUCCCUUUAUUAUAUUAAGUAUAAAUAUAUUGCUCAGCUAUGUUAUUGACUAUUGAACAAGUGGUACUUUUUUAUUUCAACUUAGAUAUCAUACUUUUUUUAUUACCAAUUGGCUUUUUGGACCUAAUUUUCAUAAUUUUAGAAUUUAGAUAUUAUUUUGUAUGCAUUUUAUUAGAAAAGAAAUCAUUAACUUAAUUAGAUAUAAACAGAAAAAAAAAUUGAAGUAUUUAUGAAAAUAAUAAUGUUAAACAAUGCAUAUUCAUAUUUUCCUCUUAAAAUAUGUCUAAUUAUAUACUAUAGUGUAUUAAAAUUUUGUUCUUCUUUCUGAAAAUAAAUAAAAUUAAAUUUUAUUUAUACAAGUAACCAAAGAAAACCUUCUAUAAAUAUACUAUACAAAACACUAUACAUACAACUAAUACAUUAGUCUAAAAAAUGAAACCAAUGAAGUCAAUUACCAAGUAUAUCUGUAACUUUCCAGUUGUGACAAACAAAAAAGGCAUGUUUACCUUAGUUUAACAAGAUUUUCAACUUAGUAAUUACAAGGUCUAUUAAUAUAAUAUUAAACUCUUAAUUUCAAAGUUCAAAUUUUGAAAUACUUAAAUAAAAAGAAACAAAAACAAAAAUUUCAACUUAGAGUUGAAAAAUUAAAUAAAAAAAAAUUGUCAAAUGAGUGGCAAGCCAAUGUUAUAUCUAUGAAUUCUAAUCCUAGCAAAAUUAAUCAAAAGCCCCUACAUCCUCUUAUUUCUUGCCCUCCACUCCUGUCUCGAGGGCAAACACAUCAUUCAUGUAGCUAUAGCAUUAAUACCACAAACACAUUUUCCACUAAUUCAGGCCACUAUCACAUGAAAAGCCUGGCCUCUCAUUAUUACAAGUUUGAAAACAAAUUCUUAAGGAAAGCAAACGGAUAACGUUUAUCAACAAAAAAAAAGGGGAAAAAGAUUAGAAAAGGAAAGGUGCAUGUCAUGAAAGUUUGGUGAGUUUAUGUAUCAUUUACAUUGGCGGAAUAUGAAUGAUAGGACGGCCUGUUCUAUUCUCUAGCAAUCACUUGUUCAUGCAUGUUAAUUAUUGCAUUUAUAUAUGCAUUCAGGUUUGGUUCAUCGAACGAAAACUAAGACACAAAUCAUCGAACGAAAACUAAGACGCAAAACUUGACCUAAAAAUAAGUUUAAAGUUAAUCAAUUCAUACCAACUCAAUUAAUAAAAUUAUUUAAACUAAGAUAAUAAAAAUAAUAAAAUAAUAAAAUAUUAAAUAUUUAUGAUAGACUGGAAUUUCAUGGUGGCAAUUACUAUUUUAGUUAAAUGUAGAACACUGAAACCUGACUCAAUUCAAUGGUACACAAAUCAAAGUUGAGUAAUUAACGAAUUUACCAGAUUACUUAUACUCACAUUUUUAUUUAGAAUUGUUAUUUCGUAACUCUUAAUUAAUUAACAAGAGAUAGAAUAAAACAUAACUAUUAACAGAAAAUAUUAAUUUUGAAAUUUUUGUUAAAAUUUAAAUUAUGUUUGGUCACUAAAAAGUUUUUCAUGUUUUAUAUUCCAAAAAAUAAAUGAUACAACACAUUGAAAAUAAAAAAAUAAAAAAAAAUUUUGAAUUUCAACAUUAAAUAUGAAUAAGACUUGCGUGCAACCAAUUUUGCGUAAACCUCUCACAGGAGCUCCAACUCUAAAAUGAAAGAAAACAACAGCAUUCCUUCCCGAGUGGAUUUUUCAAAAGAAAAUUAAGAAAAAAUAAUUAUAACCCAUGCAAGUGCAAUUUUUGCCUUACUAGCACGACGUUCUAACCAACUGAACUAAUAAGUUUGUAAUAAAAUUAUAAUAAUUUAAUUUAAAUUUUUUAUGAUUUCAAAUUUGCAUUUAAGGUCUUUGAUCAAUUUAAAGAGUUAGCGGCAAUUGAAAUCAUAAUAACUAUGUCAUACAUGCAAAAAUAAAUAAAAAAAAAAAAAGAGAAAUAAACUAAUGAGUAUGAUGAUUUCAAAUAAAAUCCAACAAAUUGAUUAAAACUUUUUUAUCACCAUAAUAUUAUUUUGAUGGAGUUGUACAGUGAUUAAUAUUGGAGAAGAAACGGAAGAUAACAUAUUUUGUCUGUAAAAUAGAGAAAUUAUAGGCAUAGAUGCAAUUCUUUUUUUUUUUUUUAACAGAAGAAAUCAGAAAGAGAUAUAAGUAAUUAAGGAUAUAGAAAGAAGUCACGUGAUUAUAUGAAUCAACUAAAUUAAAUUUUAAAUUUAAAUAGCUUUUUUGGACAAAAUUAUGAAAAUUUUGCGUGGCAACCACAAUAUCAUUUUUUUAAUAUAAAUUAAGCAUUAAAACAUAGAUAUUCAUAAUAUAAAUUUCUAUUGCUGCAAACUUCAUUCAUAACAUUUGCUUGCAUGGGCCUCUUUUGGUUUUUGCAGUAGUGAACAAAACAAGCCGUGUCUUUUAUGUAACGUUAGAGUUUAGAAAGUUCAUAUAUAUUUAUGAAAUUGUUGUGAUUUUCCUAAGCUUUUCAUCUUUGAAGUGAUAUCAUUUGAGGACUCUCCAAGUUUUCUCACAACAGAAACUUCUGAUAUCACAAAUUGAUGCAUAAAAAGGAUUGAAAUAGAUACAAAGCAGGGGAAGAACAGGGAAAAGGCAGAAGGAAAGAAAAAGGAAGAAACGGAGAGAAAACAGAGAGAGGGCAAUCUCAGAAGACAAAUUUCUAAUAUUAAUAUCCCAAUAAUACAAAAGGCUAUAGAAAAAAUGGAAACCAAAGAAUUUACUUUCCACAAUCCAUAAGAACCUAAUAUAGAAUGUCUACGGCGCCUCCAUCAACAGUAUUGUGCAGUUUCUGAUUUCUCUUCCAUGAUUGAAUUGUUUGCCUUAUGAUGCAAACAAUUGUAACAAUAUAGAUCACAAUAAUGUGGAACCUAUGAACAUGAAACAAGUGGUCAUAGGCAUUAUAUAGACAUUUGGAUUGUGAAAUUAGCAUGUCCCAUAAGCCAUAAAAUCACACAUAGAUGAAAUUUUGCACUGGUGUUUCCAUUUUUCAUUGCACACAGCUUUCUCUAUUGUCUAAAACCAGUUUAUUCCCUAAAAGUAUUUCAAAAGAGUGGAAUACUCUGCCAAUCCCCUCUUAAUGGAAUAAUAAUCUUAAAAGAGUAUGUUACAAGCUUAACUAAAUUGGUUAAUGCAGCUAUCCUUAAAGUUGACAUGGAGUAGGUUUGGGAUUCAAAUUCUAAUAAUUACAAUCUCAUUUAUACAAAAAACAAAAAAAAAAAAAAAAAAAAAAAAACAUAGUAAUGUAUUGAAAUGAAUUAUUACUAGUUAAAAUUUUCACUCACCAUGUUAUUUAUUUGGAUGAUGCACCACUAUUUGUUGGGGCCGCUGGAGCAGUAAUUGAAGGUGGAGAGCCAAAGAUUUCUGUAACAAAUGGAAGCACAUAUUUAACUGUUGCAUAAACUUCAAUCAGAAGAAAAACAAAGUCAAUAAAUAACUAGAGUUGCAUGCCACUAACCUCAAAGGAGGAGGUUUUCAGGGGGCUUCCGUUCCUUGGCAGGGUCAAGAUCAGGAUCAUACACUCUCAAAUAGUGCUCUUGACCCAAGUACUAAUUUUUUAAGUUUUGUGAUCUCAAGUUCCACAUUCCAGGGUUGUCUAGGUAUGCAAAAACUGCAGUCCAUCAUCCAAAAUACACCUGACCAAUUAGAUUUGAGUGCAUGAAUGUGAAAAAACAUAAGCUCGAGCUGCUAAGCAGAAAAAUAAAUCACAUAGUGAGAAACUAGUCACCUGAAUCGUGGAACGCACAACAGGAUUAUAAAUAUUGUAAGAAGAGAGAGAGUUAGGGGUCUAUUCUUCAUCACCAAACUUGAAAGAGGUUAAAAUGACGAUGAAUGAUUUCGUUUGUAUUCAGAUUUGGGGUAUGAAUUUUAACUAUAGUCCUUUUUUGGGGGAAAAAAAAGGUUUAGGGUGAGCGGAGACUUUCCCAUUCCAGCCAUUCAGGGGUAGGACAGGCUGUAAGCCUACAGAGGACUUACAUCGACUUUACGUACAUCCCACCGAGGAAAAUUGCUAGCAGCUGGAUUUGAACCUAAAGAUGAAGUAUUUCAACUUUACCAACUCAACCAGCCUAGCAACUAUAAUCUUUUCUCUUUGCAUACCCAACUACAAAGAAUCUAAAUCUAUCCAAAUGCCAAGUAUCUAUAACUUCUAUGUAAUUCUUCAGCACAAUCUCUAUCCACCCUUUUUGGAUCCCGGUAGCUGCAAAAACUCCAUUGAAAGGUUCAAGGUCUGAAGAAUUUGUGGGGAAUUUAUCAAGUUCAAAAAUAUCGGUGCCACCAUUGGCAUAGGCAUGAGCAAGUUUAGUGGAGUAUCCGGUGUAAGGUACGGUACAUUGUUGACUGUGUAAUGAGUUGUUCCAUUGAUCUCAGCAGCUGAUCCCUGGAGAAUUGAAGGCCUGUGACAAUGUCACAUUGAAACCUUGAAGGUUCCUUGUGGGUUAGGCCUAGCAGCACCAAGUGCUCAACUACUUCCACCUUAACACAGAUAUAAAAGGAUGUGAGUAAUAGAAGAUCGAAUAUUUACAUCAAAUUUCAGUGCCCAAUGUCUAACAGGACUGACAUCUUUGAGCAUUCUUUUUUCCUUUGAAAAGCAUUUACCCUAAUGGAUUUAGCUUGAUCAAUGGAUAAUUGGAUAUCAAAUGGAUCAGGCCACGGUGGAAGAAGUCCUCUAGCAGGAAUGGUGGAGUUGUCAUAGUGCAGCAAUCCAACACCCAGAAGACUGCUGAAGACUCAGUUGCAUUGAUCAUUGUAGGAGCUUCCACAAUGUAAUAAUCUUUUCUUCUUGAUCAGCUGUGACAAGUACAGAAUAAGAAUGGGAAAUAUGUAAAUCAAGAGAAUCCAGUGUCAUCUGAUUCAGAUAUGAUCUGUCUGUUUCCACUUUCCACCAAUACCAGCAGAUGAUUUUGAAUCCUUAAGUUGAAACUCCAGACCGUUCCAACAUUUGAUAUCCUAAAUCUAUAUGUCUUUUCUGCAUACCCCAUCAGCAAGGACUAAGAAAUAAAGAAGAAAAUUGGUACUUUUUCUUGUAACCAAGGAUCAGCAUCUAACUGAGAAGGCUUCUCCUUUGGUUUUACCUUUUAAUUAUCCUAUAGAAAAUAGAAAAUAUCAUUUUCAUUUUGUACCUUUUGUGACCGUAAAGAAUUCAUAGCCCUUUGAAUCAUCUUCCAAAUAAGAACCCUUGCUAUUCAUCGGGAUUUUAUCAGGAGGGAAUCACAGGCUGUAGAACUGAUUCUGAGCUGGGACCUGACUUCCUAUUGCCUUCAUAUAUCAGAAAAAAGAUGGAAACUAUUUAGCCUCAAAUUCUUCUUAUUGUUAGGAAAAUAGGGUCCAGUCCCAUGUAAGUGGUUUUGGACCAAGUAAAGGCCAUGGGCCUUGAUCUUUUAUUUUACACAGAGCCCUAGCUACUUAAUAAAAAAGAGGUGGGGUUGUUUUAUGUGUGUGUCGACAACCAAGCAAAAAAAGAAGAAAAGCCAGGAAAAGCAGAGAGAGAAAAAAGAGAAGGGAGAGUUGGUUAAACGGAAGUCGAUCCGUGGUCCGAUUGAGUUGGAACCUUGUCAGGAAGGUUUAUGAUUCAGAGUUAUACAUUCUGAACGGUGAAGAUCGGGCUUGAAGCUCUCUAGGAACAAAUCCAGGGUGUAUUUGUUGAGUCACUUAUUUGGUGAGAUUUCUCUAAUUGUUUCUCUAGUUGUUGAUUAGCUCUAGUUUUAGCUAGAGAAGAACUUUGUAUAACUAUUAUUUGAUAGUGAAGAUUUUUCUGGUGGCCCGUGGUUUUUUCCCUCUACACUGGAGGGUUUUCUACGUAAAUCUUGGUGUGCUUUAUUUUUCCUGCGCAUUUGAUUAUUGAUUGUUGUCUAUUGCUUCUGUAUUGUUGUGAUUAUUGCUUCAGGCGCAACAAGUGGUAUCAGAGCGAGGGUUAUUUUGAGACAUCGAUACAGAAGCAUCCCAGGAUAUAAGUAAAUUCUGUUUGAGAUCAUGGAGGGUGAUACAGGUUCCAUGAUAAAAUUGACAGCAUCGAAUUAUUCAAUUUGAAGCCUAUGAUGGAGGAUCAUCUUAUUACUGUAAAGAUUUGUAUUGAGCCAGUAUUGGGUGAUUCGGCUAAAACCAGCAGAUAUGAAAGAUGAAGCUGAAGAAGCUAGGUAGAAAGACGCUGGCUACAAUCAAAAAAUGGGUUGAUAUCAGCGUGUUCCAUCAUGUAGCGCAGGAGUCAGAUGCUCACAUUGUUUUGGGAAAAAUUGGCAGCAUUGUAUGAGAGAAAAAACAGGGUAUGAAUAAAGUUAUGCUUGUUAAAAAAGAUUGUAAACUUUACAAGUACAGGGAUGGACGAUCUGUUACAGAGCACUUGAGUGAUUUUCAAGAUAUAUUUAAAUCAGAUGACUACUAUGGAGCUUAAAAUGGAUGAUGAAAUGAAGGCAUUUAUUUCUUUUGGGUUCAUUGCCAGACAACUGGAAUACUCUAGUUGUGACUGUUCUUAAUUCAGCUCCUGAUUAUAAGGUGACAUUUGGAGAUGGUAAAGGACAGUAUUGCUUAAUGAAGAAGCGAGGCGANNNNNNNNNNNNNNNNNNNNNNNNNNNNNNNNNNNNNNNNNNNNNNNNNNNNNNNNNNNNNNNNNNNNNNNNNNNNNNNNNNNNNNNNNNNNNNNNNNNNNNNNNNNNNNNNNNNNNNNNNNNNNNNNNNNNNNNNNNNNNNNNNNNNNNNNNNNNNNNNNNNNNNNNNNNNNNNNNNNNNNNNNNNNNNNNNNNNNNNNNNNNNNNNNNNNNNNNNNNNNNNNNNNNNNNNNNNNNNNNNNNNNNNNNNNNNNNNNNNNNNNNNNNNNNNNNNNNNNNNNNNNNNNNNNNNNNNNNNNNNNNNNNNNNNNNNNNNNNNNNNNNNNNNNNNNNNNNNNNNNNNNNNNNNNNNNNNNNNNNNNNNNNNNNNNNNNNNNNNNNNNNNNNNNNNNNNNNNNNNNNNNNNNNNNNNNNNNNNNNNNNNNNNNNNNNNNNNNNNNNNNNNNNNNNNNNNNNNNNNNNNNNNNNNNNNNNNNNNNNNNNNNNNNNNNNNNNNNNNNNNNNNNNNNNNNNNNNNNNNNNNNNNNNNNNNNNNNNNNNNNNNNNNNNNNNNNNNNNNNNNNNNNNNNNNNNNNNNNNNNNNNNNNNNNNNNNNNNNNNNNNNNNNNNNNNNNNNNNNNNNNNNNNNNNNNNNNNNNNNNNNNNNNNNNNNNNNNNNNNNNNNNNNNNNNNNNNNNNNNNNNNNNNNNNNNNNNNNNNNNNNNNNNNNNNNNNNNNNNNNNNNNNNNNNNNNNNNNNNNNNNNNNNNNNNNNNNNNNNNNNNNNNNNNNNNNNNNNNNNNNNNNNNNNNNNNNNNNNNNNNNNNNNNNNNNNNNNNNNNNNNNNNNNNNNNNNNNNNNNNNNNNNNNNNNNNNNNNNNNNNNNNNNNNNNNNNNNNNNNNNNNNNNNNNNNNNNNNNNNNNNNNNNNNNNNNNNNNNNNNNNNNNNNNNNNNNNNNNNNNNNNNNNNNNNNNNNNNNNNNNNNNNNNNNNNNNNNNNNNNNNNNNNNNNNNNNNNNNNNUAUAUAUAUAUAUAAAGACUUAAACCUAAAUUUAUGGGACACAUUUUGUGGGAUAAAAUCGUUAGACCUUUUGGUCAAAACGAAUAAUACCUCUCAGAUUGAGUGCGAGUCUCCACAAAUAAUAUUAGAGCAGUCACCAUGAGACAUUCCAGUCAAAGCAAAUAAUACCUCCUAGAUUGGAUGUGAGUCUCUACAAAUGGUAUCAAAGCGGUCAUCAGUCGGACAGGAACUAAGUGCUAUACUAUGAUAAUCAUCUUUAAAAUCCUAACAUCUUGUGUAAUCAUGUGAUCUGUGUAUGCUUUAUGUUAGGCUUGCUUAACAUUUGGUAUAAUUUGGUGGACAUCAAGCUUUAACAUGAGAGUUUGUAAUACUCAAAUCUCACAUUGGGAUAAAACUGCAAAACUUUCAGAUCAAAGCAAACAAUAUCUAGCAAGUUGAGUGAGGGUUUGCAUAUGUUCUGUAUUCCUUAAGGUUGCAAUACAUUCAAAUUUAUUCCAUAUGUAACUGCCAGUCCUGCAAUGCCUGUCGAAAAAAAUCAUUUUUUGAUUAGUGGUCAUUGAUAAAUUUUUCUUCUACCUCUUGGUUUUUUUCAUAGAAGAUGCAAUUCUUGUUAAUACUUAAGUAUGAAGGAGCCCGCAAACAACAUAUUUGGGAAAUAGAUCUACAUUAAUAUGCGUGGGUAUCUAUUCUAUGUACUAACAUCAAUUUUCUAAGAAAGAAAACAGGUAAUAGAAUACAUCAUACUCACUUGGAUUAAUCAUUUCCUUCAGGGAGCAUCACCAGCACAACCAAUGAGAAGGCAAAUACAAAAUGGACAGUAGAUUUAGUCUGAAUGAAAGCAUUCCAAUGCUGAGAUGUUAUGAAACCAGGGCUCGAAUGGUUGUCAAUGAGGCCAAGGUUUGCAUCAAUGAAACGGUUUUCAUGAUCAAAAGCGCGGAUUGUUGCUGUGCCAGCUAGUGAUUCGGCAAAGUGGUGGAGGAUAGGAGCUCUUUGUACACCUGCUAAGCGGGCCAGUUCUGCUGUUUGCAUGUAAUAUUGCUGGAACAAUUAUGCAUAAAAAUGAAUUGGUAAAGCUAUUCUUUUCAUGGCAGUUAGCAAGAGUUGAUUCUUUGCAUGCAAAACUUGUCAAUUGUCAUUUGCUUACCAUUUUCUGAUUUCAUCUGAAAUUAAUUUGGAUUUAUGUAAAAUAUUACAAGUAUAUAUACAGAAACUGUCUUUUCAAUAUUUAAAGGGACACAAACUCUAACUUGGAUUUCUCUCUACGCGGUAUACCUAUGUAACCGUCUCUAGAUAGAUUAGUGAGAAAUCUGGACUGUCACUUACUAGGUACCAUAUGCAGAUUGCAGUUACUGGAAUGAAGAUGACAAACACUUGCCAUGCUAUGUUUAACGUCACCGCGAUGGUCCCAAGAAUCUUUAUUAUUGAGGAAGCACACCGUCCUAAUUUGAUUGCCAUUUCCAAGUCUAGAACACUUUGAUCAGUAGAUGCCUGGAAAUAAAACAACUUAAGACCAUGAGUCUUUGUUAUGAAAUCAUAUAUAAAUGAUCUGUGGCUAUUGAGCUCCAAUACCAUAGAAGUUCGAGUUUAACCUUUAGUGCAAGUGUAAGUGCAAGUACUAAUUUACAAACAUUUAGCUGCCCCUAUUAUCUUUAAUUGAAAUCAGAGAAAAUUGUUUUAGCUCUAUGUGCAACUCACCCAAUUUAAGAUUCUUCCAGCUAGGGUUGAAUCAAAAAAUGCCACUGGAGCACGGAGUACACUGUGCAUCAUGUUAAUGAAGAGCUUUUGUACCGUCCAGAGUCCUGCUACUGCCACUAGCAUGGCUCGCACCAAGACACAGAGUAAACUUCCAACAGUAAGUAGUGAAUAAACAAGUAAUAUAAAGUCCAUCCCCAGCGUAGUAUCUGUUUCAUUUGUAGGAGGAGAAGCCCAUGCCAUCCAAUAGUUGCUUGCUAUCUGUAAUACUUGGAAUGAUGACUGUGCCAAGAGUAUUAUUGGAAUCAGGACUCCACCUUUCACAGUGGUCAUAUAGGACCAGUAAACUUCUUUUCCAAGACUUCCUUUCUUUCUCUCUUCAUCCUGCACGAGUUUUCCUCCAUUUUCUGUUAUCUCUAGAGGAUGGUUAUGCUCCGAACCAUGUUGUAUCUGUACCAGUUCAGCAUUUGAUGUCGAAUCUGUGUUGGAUUCACCCUCAACACUUUGGGGAUCUUGAGAUGUUCCACAGGAAUUUUCAACUGUCAGAACAGAUUGUACUGCUUUGCUAUGGGCACCAACUAAAACUUCAAAUCCUAUAUUUUGUUUCAGAAGUUCUUCAAAUGUGCCUGCUUGUGCAAUUCUUCUACUUUGCAUCAGCUGUUGAGAAUCAACAUAGAUGUCAGGUAUAAAUCUAUAAUCGAGAUGGAUGCCAGGUUAGUUGUUUUCAAUGGACUAUGAAUUUAAUCUUUUGAAAUGGCUCGAGCGAUUUAAGUUUCUUGCUUACCAGAAUGACGUCUGCUGCAAGCAGAAACUCAACUUGGUGGGUAACAUAAAGUAUGGUCUUGUCUUUGAGAAUUCCCAUCAAGCAGUCCUGCAAAGUAUAGUUAAACAAUAACUGGUCUUAAAAGCUUUAUAAUAUUCGAAAAAGGUAACAAUCCAUAUAAUUCCAGGAUUCAUGAUAUGAACUUAUUCUCAAUUACAUUAUCCCUCUACCUUUCAAGUUGUUAGGAAUAAUGACUCAAAUUACAUAAAAGAUUUGUUUGAAAUUUAUCAGAUAUUGUUUGAUGAAUAAGAAGACUUGUAGAAUAAGAAUUGUAAGAAUAAAGGAAUUUUUAAUAAGCAAGUUUGUAUGGUUAUAAAUAGAUGAAGUCUAUAUAGAAUUUGGUAUAAGAAAAAGAUGUAAGAGAGUUAUAGGGUUUUAUGGAUAGACACUACUGAAGAUUUACGUCUUAUGAGUAUGUAUGUUUGUUUGUAAGUAGACUAAAAGAGACUAAGAGGGUCCACGUAAGUAUGAUGUAUAAGUGCAUAUAGAUAUGUGUUUGUUUGUGUUGAAAAGGAGCACACAGGUUUGUGUUAGUUUACGUUGAGAAUACUCUAGAGGAGAUUGAAAGGACCUAUGGGUAUUGAUUGUUGAGUGAGAUUGAUUUGAUGUAUGUUUGUAAUUCUCUACAACUAGUGGAUCUUGUUUCUCAUCCGCGGACGUAGGUCAGUCAAACCGAAUCACAUUAAAUUGUUGUUCUUGUGUGAUUGAUUAAUUAUUUUAUUUUACUUUCGCUAGUGUGAUCAGAUUGAGACAUUUUGGCUUAACAAGUGGUAUCAAAACUGAAGAUUCAAGACAUGAAAAAAGUUAAAGGUUCGAGAUGUGAGAAGAACUGAAGGUUCGAAGCAUGGAAGAGACAAGUCCAAAGGAGCUCGACUCAAUAACGAAGUUCGAGUUCGUGUUUUGAAGAUCAAUUUGCAUAAAGCUUGAAGAUACAUAAGAGAAUAUGAUUGUCAGACUUCCAUUGCAAAUGGAGCCAAGCAUGUCUAACAUAAAGACAGAUGAUUUGAUGGAAUUUGAGUCAAGGUGGAGAUUAUUAGGAAUAAUGACUCAAAUUUCAUAAGAGAUUUGUUUGAGAUUUCUCAAAUAUUGCUUGAUGGACAAGAAGACUUGUAGAUGAAGAAUUCUAAGAAGAAAGGGAUUCUUAAUAAGCAAGUUUAUAUGGUCAUAAAUAGGUGAAGUCUUUAUAAGGUUUGGUAUGAGAAAAAGAUGUAAAAGAGUAAGAUUUUAUGGGUAGACACCCCAUAAACUACUAGAGAUUUAUGUUUUAUGGGUGUAUAUGUUUGUUUGUGAGUGAACUAGAGAAGACUGAGAAAGUCCAUAUAAGUAUGAUAUAUGGGUAUAUAUGGAUAUGUGUUUGUUUGUAUUGAAAGGGUGCACGUGAGUUUAUGUUUGUUUUGGUUGAGAAUACUCUGUAGGACUAGAAGAGACUAAGAGGACUUAUGAGUAUUGAUUGUUGAGUGAGAUUGAUUUGAUGUUUGUUUGUAUUUCUCUACAACUAGUGGAUCUUGUUUCUCAUUCAUGGACAUAGAUCGAUUAGACCGAACCAUGUUAAAUUAUUAUUUCUUGUGUGAUUGAUUGAUUAUUUGAUUUCAUUUUCGCUGGUGUGAUCAGAUUAGGGCCGUUGGUCCUAACACAAGUAAGUGUGCAUUAUUUACCUGAAAGAGCUGUGCCUGUAUGAACAUCCAUGGCACUAAAAAGGUCAUCGAGUAGAUAUAUAUCAGCAUCAUGAUAGACUGCAAGGGCAAUUUGUAUCCUUUGCUUUUGUCCGCCACUCAUAUUAAUCCCUCAUUCUCCAAUCUCAGUUAAAUCACCACAAGAAAAUAGCUCAAAAUCUUUUGUCAAAGCACAUGCUUUAAUUGUUCUGUCAUAUUUGUUCUUAUCGUAAGGAUUCCCAAAUACAAUGUUCUCCCUGAUAUUUUCUGACAAUAUCCAUAGCAACUGAGGAACAUAAACCUUUGAACCACUAAUCUUUAUGGUACCAGACAACUUUUGUAUUUCUCCAAGAAUGCAUGAAAGCAAGCUAGACUUGCCUGACCCUACAUUUCCACAUAUUGUCACCUUCAUACCCCUCUUCACUUUUAGUUGCACCUCGUCAAGGGUGGGAUUGCUUGGAUCAGGGUCCCAGCUGAAUGUUCCAUUGUCAAUUUCUACUUCAAAUUCUGUUUGUUCUUUGGGAACAUACUCAAUGGCAUCCUGUUCUAUUUCUUCUUCCUGAAGGUAGAAAGCAACUCUAUCUCCUGAAACUUUACUCUGUGCUAUGACUAAGAGCAGAUCAGGUAAACUGAAUAUAGGAUCUUGCAACAUUCUAAAAGUAGCUAGUGCAGACAAGACUCUGCCAGCUAUGAGUUGAAUGCCCAUUAGCAUACAUGCCCCAAAAGUCACCAUAGAGAUAAGCGUUGGUGAUCCCCAGAAAAUGGAAGUUGAAAUUGCUUGCAAUCUUUGUGAUUCCCAUAGCCAUUUAUACUCUACCUUCCUCAAGCUCUCUAGCUUGUGGAGGGACUGACGAUCCCAUGCUUGAAGUUUUAUAGUCUUCAUGUUUCUAAGAACUUCUGAAUUGGCCUUUACCCUUUUAUCUUUCGUAUCCAUGAUCUUAGAUUGAAACUUUCUCUGGAUUCUUUUUAUCGGCAUGUUGCAAGCCAUGACUAUUAGAGUUGAAGCCAAUGCAGCUAAAGACCCCAAACCUAGACUUGUGUGCAAAAUGUAGAUUGCUAAGGAAAUUUGUAUAGGCAACAUCCAUAUAAUUUUAAGUACCAGAUGAAGUCUGUGAUUCUUUGGAUAACUAUGCUCAUAUAGUUGAUGAGCUCUCCACUAGUGUGGCUUUACCGAGACAAACUGGAGAAAACUGUUGGAAAUAUUGACUCAAAUCUCAUAAGAGAUUUGUUUGAGAUUUGUUAGAGAUUUAUUUGAGAUUUGUUAGAGAUUUAUUUGAGAUUUAUCAGAUAUUGCUUGAUGGACAAGAAGACUUGCAAAAGAAGAAUUCUAAGAGAAAGAGAAUUCUUAAUAGGUAAGUUUGACUUGCAAAAGAAGAAUUCUAAAAGGAAAGGGAUUCUUAAUAGGCAAGUUUGACUUAUAAGAGAAGAAUUCUAAGAGGAGAGGGAUUCUUACUAGGCAAGUUUGUAUGGUUAUAAAUAGGUGAAGUCUCUACAGGGUUAGGUAUGAGAAAAAGAUGUAAGAGAGUUAUAGGAUUUUAUGGGAUAGACACCCCAUAGGAGUAUUGGGGCUCUACGUCUUAUGGGUGUGUAUGUUUAUUUGUGAGUGGACUAGAGGAGACUGAGAGGGUCCACAUAGGUAUGAUGUAUGAGAGCAUAUGGGUAUGUGUUUGGUUAUGUUGAAAGGGUGCACAAGGGUUUGAGUUUGUGUUUGUUUGGGUUGAAAAUACUCCAUAAGAUUAGAGGAGAUUGAGAGUGUCUUAUAAGUAUUGAUUGUUGAGUGAGAUUGAUGAUUUGAUGUAAGUUUGUAAUUCUCUACAACUAGUGGAUCUUGUUUCUCAUCCGUGGAUGUAGGUCAGUUAGAUCGAACCACGUUAAAUUAUUGUCUCUUGUGUGUUUGAUUUAUUGUUUGAUUUCACUUUCGUUGGUGUGAUUGGAUUGGAGGCUUUUAGCCCAACAAAUGGUAUCAGAGCUGUGGUGUUCCCCAACAAGUAGUAUCAAAGUUGAAGGUUUGAAACGUGACAAGAGUUGAAGAUUCAAGAUAUGGGAAGAACCGAUGGUUCGAGACAAGGGAAGAGUUGACAAUUCGAGAUAUAGAAAGAGCUUGGUUUGAGACAUGGGAAGAAAUAAGCUUAGAGGAGCUCGAUUCAAGAGAAGAGUUCGAGUUUAAGUUUUGAAGAUUGAAGAUUGGUUUGUAUGAAGCGUGAAGACACAAGAGAAGAGAAAAUGAUUGUGAGACUUUCAUUGUAGGUGGAGCCAAGCAUGUCUAGCAUGAAGACAGAUGAUUGAUGAAAUUUGAGUCAAGGUGAAGAUUGUUGGGAAUAUUGACUCAAAUCCCAUAAGAGAUUUAUUUGGGAUUUGUUAGAGAUUUGUUUAAGAUUUAUCAGAUAUUGUUUGAUGGACAAUAAGACUUGCAAAAGAAGAAUUCUAAGAGAAAGAGAAUUCUUAAUAGGUAAGUUUGACUUGCAAGAGAAGAAUUCUAAAAGGAAAGGGAUUCUUAAUAGGCAAGUUUGACUUAUAGGAGAAGAAUUCUAAGAGGAGAGGGAUUCUUACUAGGCAAGUUUGUAUGGUUAUAAAUAGGUGAAGUCUCUACAGGGUUAGGUAUGAGAAAAAGAUGUAAGAGAGUUGUAAGGUUUUGUGGGAUAGACAUCUCAUAGGAGUAUUGGGGCUCUACGUCUUAUGGGUGUGUAUGUUUGUUUGUGAGUGGACUAAAGGAGACUGAGAGGGUCCACAUAGGUAUGAUGUUGAGAGCAUAUGUAUCUGCGGUUAUGUAUCUUGUGAGGUACAAAAGAUACCAAGGGUUGAUUUGUGUAUUUGGGUUGAGAAUACUCCAUAGGACUAGAGGAGAUGAGAUGUGUCUUAUGAGUAUUGAUUGUUGAGUUGAGGUUGAUGAUUUGAUGUAAGUUUUAAUCUCUCUACAACUAGUGGAUCUUGUUUCUCAUCCGUGAAUGUAGGUCAGUUGGAUCGAACCACGUUAAAUUGUUGUCUCUUGUGUGUUUGAUUUAUUGUUUGAUUUCGCUUUCGCUGGUGUGAUUGGAUUGGAGGCUUUUAGCCCAACAAAAACUAGCCCCUUCUUGUAUAUAUGAGAUAUUAGAGCAGCUCUGAGCCGAAGGCCUAACUGACGUGGCCCAAAGAUCCAUUGCCUUUCUGCUAUUGUCUCAACCAUCUUGGCACUUAGAAAGGCCAGUGCAAGAAGGUAUCCACUCUCUAAUUUCCUGGUUUUCUUCUCAGCUAGGAAGUUCACAAAGUCAUCAAUCAGAUAUGGACUAACAUAUGAUGCUCCUGCAUUUAUCACUGCACACAAUGCGUUAAUUGCUGCCUUUUUCCUGAUGAACAGAAAUAUUGCUUUGUAUAUAGAUGGGUUUGUCGAACCCUCUUUCUCCCUAAUUUGUUUUAGAAUCUGAUCAAAGGCAAAGGAGGCAAAUUCAGCAGAGUCCUUAACAUCAACAUCUGGGAUGUCAUCCUGCUCUAGGGGUUCCUUGAUCCCCAAAGUGAACAAUGGAUUGAGCCAAAAAAAGGUAAUGAGUUGAACAGUUGCUCUUCCAUGUGGAGAUUCCCUUCUUUGUUUUCAAUGUUUAUCAAUUUUUCUACUGAGAGGUGACUCAGCAAUGUUAUUUUAGUCAAUAAAGACUAAACUUGUCUUCCCUCCUAUCGAUAUAACCAGUAAGAGAAAUGACGCAAGGAGACCAAUGAAGUUUGCAUAAUCUAGCAUUUUCAGAUUGCCAUGUUCUGCAGUUUUUAUGUAGGUAUUAAGAACUAUGCAGAUAAUGGACGACAAGAAACUGCAAACCCACCAUGUUCUUAGAAUCCAAGGAAAUCUAAUGUGCUUUUCUUUGGGAAUCUUGCAUACUACAAUCAAUGUUACUGCCCAUGACAUCACUGCCAUGAUCUCUGAUGAGUAAGCUUGAAAUGGUGAGUUGCAAUGACUGUCAGUCCUACUAUUUAGCAGCAUCAGUAGCUUUAGGAAAUGAAUGCUUAGCAAUAAAAUGGAGCAAACCACACUAGCUCUGUAAGAAAGGCUGAGUUUUGCACCAAUGGGGUAAUUUUUCGCCACUUGAUCUGCAACCUUCCUUCUGUGUUUGCACACAUUUUUUUGAACAAAAUGGAGCAAUGUGAUUCCAAGGAAGCCAGGUUGCAUAAUUAUGUUGACCGCUUCCCAGAAACAAGGUGAUUUUAGCUGCAUCCAUGUCACUAGGAACUGACGAAACUUCAAGUCUGUCACGCAUUAAUAGAAAAUAGAGCCUGAUUUUAUUUUUUUUUUAAAUCAAGAAGGCAAAACAAAAAUAUGCUUUUGCAAAAAAUAUGAAGCGAACCAAGUCCAACAAGACAGAGCUAUUAUCCUUUAGGUAUAUCAGUAAUCCUACGAAGAAAUUAAAGAAAUUUAGGAACUGAGGUAACGAGCGUCAAGGAACAGCCGUGUACAGCAAUGUAAGAGAGUGUUGGACUCUUUGUUCCAAUUUCAAUAAAAAUAAUAAUAAAAAAAAAAAAAAGCAUGAACACCAUGGUGCAGUAUCGGGCCUAGUUCAUGUGCUUGGUUCGAUUCAACCAUCAUAACUACGGACAACUAAGUUUGAGUAAGGCCAAUGAUUAAUAGAUGCAAAUCAAGACAAAGUUUUGAUCUUCCAUUAGAAUGCAUGUGCAUGCAUGCAUGUCUUGUGCUGCAUCUCCCUGCAAUUAUCUAAGGAGAAGGAGAGUUGAAGGAAAACUGAGAUUAAACAGACGUACUUGUUGCAGUCAAUGAUAUGAACACGUCUUGCAAAACAUGGUUAGCGUCCCUUCAGCUUUGUUUAUGAGAAAUGAAUUCUAUAGUCUGAGAGCGGCACUUAUAGUGGAAAGAGCAGAUGAUUAAAUUAAAGAUUCGUGGAGCACAAGAAUAAACCUGCAAAGUCAACAACAGGAAAUUUUAAUUAUAAAUGUGUGUUUUUUUCCUGUAAUGAAGGUGGGAUAUGACGUUGUGGUUUGAUGAUAAUGGUUCUUUGGCUGGUUCGGUGAGCUGGUGCUGCUGUUUUCUAGUGAUUUUAUACCGUAGAAAGCAAGUAAGAGAAGCAUCUAGGAAACUCGGUGAUGGAGAUGGGGUAUUCUCUAACAAAGAAGUUUUAAAGGCGCGGAGAGAGCAUCUCAACUUUAAAAUCCAACCACGCCCCCCACCACAUGUUGCUGGGAUAAGAUUGGAAUUACCUCAAUUCUAGACUUAAUUUUUUUCAUGGAGACUUGAGAAUCCCUCGGAAAUCCCUUGCUUGUCAAUCUUAAUCAUACUUUGAUGGUUCAGUUGACAUUUUAGAACGUUGAUCAUAAUGUGGGCGAACACCUCAACUAUGCUAAUAGUUAAUUAAUGUCGGAUAAGCCAAUUGAUUAAGUUUUAAAAAAUCAAAAAAAAUUAAAAAUUGAUUUAAAUUUAUAAUAUUUGGUUUUGUUUUAAUAGUUUUUUUAUUCGAUUAAAUUUAUUUAAAUAUUAAAUAUUAUUGUUAGAUUCAGAUUAAAUUUUAGAAUGAAAAAUAAAAAAACUAAAAAUAUUCAAAUAAAAUUGAAUUAUAUAUUUUUAUUAAUUUUUUAAAUUUUUAUAAAAUAAAAAUAAUUAUUUUAUAUCUAAAUUUAUUCGGAAUCUUUUACUUUCUUAUUAUUUGCGCUUUCUAUUUUUACUUUUUUUUUUUCCUUUUACGCUUCUCAUCUCUUGCUUUUUAUUAACUUAAACGUCCAAACGUGUCUCAAAAUUUUUCCAACAACGCUGCCUCACCCUUCUCUUUUUAAGUCACUCUGGCUUUCAAAUCAAAUCACCGAACCAAUUUCCCAACAACGUUAGGUGGCUUCUAAGUUUAUUUUGACUCAAAUUAGUCUGCCCAAAUUGUCCUGCAGUGUACCAAUUAAGUUUCUGAAUUAUUUCACCUUCAAUAUAUUAUUUCUUUCUGCAUGUGCAUGUAGCACUAUAUAAUAUGUCAAUAUCUUUAACUAUUUCAAGUGAAGUUUUUAUUUUUAAUAAUUAAAAUAAAUAAAUAAAUUUUAAAGUGAAAUAUAGUGUAAAGUAAUAAUCAACUUUGGUUAAAUUAUAUAACAGAUAUAUGUACUUUAAUUAAAUGGUAGAAUUUAUCAUUUUAUCUUCAUUUGUUUGAAUUAGAUCCUUAUUCUUUGUUUAAUUAUUGAAUUUAAUCAAAUUAUUAAUAAUUUAAACUUUUUUUAUUAAAAUUAAUGACGUAAUAUUUUAAUUUUUUUAACGUAGCAUUUUUGUUUACAUGACUUUUGACUUUACAAACAUGUAAAAUCCAUAUAGUCAAAGAUGACGAUGUAACAAAAUUUUUUAAUACAUCAUCAUUUUUCUAUGUCAAUUUUUCUCAAAUUAUAUAACUUAUUUUUAUAUUUUGGUUAAAUGGUAGAAUUAAUCAUUCUACUUUAAUAUGUAUUUAAAUUUGAUCUCUGUAUAUUAAUUAAUUAUUGAAUUUAAUAUUUGAUUUAAAAUAAAUAAAAUAAAACUAAAAUAAAAGAUAAAAGAAAUUUCAAUAAAAAUAGAUCGAGUCAUAAACAUAAUCAAUAUAUCAGUUAACACCCGAGUUUCACUAGACCUAUUUUCUAAAACGGUACCAUUUCAACUUGUUAUAAAAACAAAAAAAAAAUAAAUCAUUUUUUUAAUUUUCUUUUUUCUCCUCUCUCAUCCUUAUUUUCCUUUUACAUUUUUUUACAAGUUUUAUCCAAAGAACUCAUAUUUCAAUCAAAUUUAAGAUUUGACCUAAAAUAAAUAAAAUAAAACUAAAAUAAAAAACAAAAAACUUUUCAAUACAAAUAGGUUGAGUCAUAAACAAAACUAAUAUAUGAGUUAAUAUUUGAGUUGUAUUAGACUUGUUUUUUUAAAUGGUACCGUUUCAACUUGUUAUAAAAACAAAAAAAAAAUCAUUUUUUUUAAUUUUUCUUUUUUCUCCUCUAUCAUCCUUGUUUUCCUUUUACUUUGUUUUACAAGUUUUAUUCAAUGAACUCAUAUUUCAAUAAAAUUUCUAAAACUAGUUAUUGAAAAAUUCAAUGUUUAUAGAAAAAAUUUAUCCUAAAAAUCAUCAAUACCCAAAAAUCGAUUACUAUCGAAUUCUUAAAAUUUUUCCCAAUCAAUCUUUCCAAAAAUGUUUUAUAUUUUCCUUAUUUUUUCAAUUUUCUUUUUUUUUUUUUUUGCUUUGUUUUUACUUUAACUUUUUUACUUUCACUAACUAAACAAUAAAUAAUAAAUAAAAUACUUUUACGCCUUUAAAUUUAUACUUAAAAUCUAAUUUCAUAAUUAAACCCAAUUUUUAUCCAAAAAUAAUUUUAAAAUCCAAUAUCGAGAUAAAAUUCAAAACCCAUUGAAUAUUGAAAAAAAUUUCAAAAAAUAUAGAAUGUCUACAAUUGCUUUUAUUGUUGAUUGUAUAUCUUGGUUUAUUAAUUAUGAGCUUUUUAAUCUAACUUUUACAUUUCUAUCAUUUUAAAAAAUUUUAUUGUUAUCUAUUUUUUAUAUUUCAAAAUAUUAAAAAUAGAAAUUAACAAAAAAUAAAUAAAUAAAGAAAAGAUAUAAUUUAAUUUAUGUUGGAUUUAUAAUCUAAUUUGAGAUUGACACAAUUUAUCAAAUUAAGUUCAACUAAUAAUUCAAAUAACCAAAAAAAUUAUCUAAAUAUGAAAAAUAUGUCACGGUUGAAGUAAGAAUUUAUGUUUUUAAUUUAUUAAUUUAGGUUAAAUUUUAAAAUCGAUAAUUAAUUAAUGUAUAGAAAUCAAGUUUAAAAGCACAUUAAAGUAAAAGAACUAAUUCCACCAUUUAACCUAACUAUAGAUAAGAACAAUAUAAUUUAAAAAAAAAUUGGCAUAGAAAAAUGAUAACGUGUUAAAAAAUUUGUCACGCCAUCAUCUUUAACUACGUAAAUUUUACAAGUCAACAAAAUUAACAGUCAUAUAAACAAAAAUAUCACGUCAAAAAAGCUAAAAUAACAUGUCAUCAAUUUUAAUAGAAAAAGUUUAAACUAUUAACAAUUUGAUUAAAUUCAAUAAUUAAAUAAAAUAUAGGGAUCCAAUUUAAAAACAUUGAGGUGAAGAGACUUAUUCCACCGUUUAACUAAUACUAUGUAUGGAUUGAGCGAAUGAAUGAAGGGAAGGAAAGAAAAAAAAUUCUAACAACUAUUAAGAUAUGUAUAUCUGAUGUAUAAUUUGACCAUCAACUUUUAGUUAUCAAAUUUGCUAAUUUAUAAACUUUCGAGCAUUCCAGCAAUCAAAAUUUAUUUCAUUUUCAAUCAAAUUUGCAUAAGUUAAAAAAGAUGAAGAGCUUUAAUUCAGUAAGCUUUCUUUUUACUUUUGAUCUUGAAGUUUAAUUAUCAUUCAAUUGUUCUUGACAAUUUUCUGCAUUUCCAAUCCUUUACUUUUGCUAUUUUACAGUUUCAACUAGAGGUCUUUUGAUCCAAUCUCAACCAGUUAACUGGCUUGGAUGAAGAUUACCAAAACCACACUUCAAAACUUUGUUAACUUAAAGUACAAAAUUGACACACUCCAUUGAUCUAAUAUGAUUGAAAAUAGUUUCAACACAUUCUUAUUAAAGGAACAAAAUAAAUUAAAAAAAAAAAAAAAAGGAACUAUCUCCAUUAGUUGUCCCUUAAAAUGGACUUUCUUUUUUGUGUCAAUUCUUAGGAUGGACUUAAAAACAUGAAUGUUGAUAUAUGUUGUUUUGUUCUAUUAUUGAUUCAUAGCCAUUUUAUGGAUUAUUUUAAUGUAAAUUUUGGAUUAAGGACUAUAAUUUUUCAAUCCACAAUCCAUGCAUUCCUCUCACAUCUCUAAUUCUCUAACCAUCGCUCAAUAAACUCCUGAAGACCACACAAUGAUGAGUGUAUCCUAAGCACAACAAAAAUGAACAAGCAUAAGAAUAAAAACGCCUGGGAAAAUAAAUUUUCGAAAAUUAUAGAGGAAGCAACGACAAUGUCUCCAACAGAACUAAUUACUAUCUAGUAGCUAGAUCAUAUAACCGGCUGUCCUGUCGAUUGCCAAAGUGCAUCCAGGAAGAUCUGACCAUCCUUUUGCCACUUUCAACAACUGUUGUGGAACUUCUUUAUGUAGUCUAGUAUUAUUAUGCAUUGCCAUACCUCAAAUGUCAUGGAAUUUUCAUUGAAAGCAGCAAAAAUUGCUUUGGGGUGCUUCACGUACUUGUUUCUGUUGCAAUAUCUGUUUCUUGACUGCUUCAGAUCCUUUCUCCAAUAAAGCAGGUACCUCAAGAAUCUGUAAACUGAUAGAAUGCGUUAGCAUAGGUCGAAACCAGAAAGAAAUAAAGUUUCCAGCUUGGACCAGAAAUUAUGCUCAGCAAAGAUCAUCAUAUCGAACAGCUUCUAAUCAAAUAAUAAGAGAUAACUGCAGAAUAAUAGCACCUAAUAAAACAUUAGAAUAUUGUUAUGAGAGUUAAAUAGUUGAGAAAUCCCUGCAUUUCUUACAAGUUUACCUUUAAAAUGAGAUCUUUAAAGCAUUGAUGCACAUUUUCUCUAGUUUUAGAGCUGCAUUCAAGAAAAGAACAUUUAUGUUCCUGUGCAAGAGCCAUACCCUCUUCUCUAGUAACAGCCCUUUCACUGUCCUGAAAAUGGCACAUUGCUCAUUCAUAAGAAAUCAGAUACCUUACAAAGCACACAAAAUUAAGUUUACAAAGUGAAGUUGUAUGCAUCUAUUUUAAAGAUUCAGAUGAUUGAUUAAGCAUAUUCAUCAGGGGUGUUGAAGUAUAUAUUCAGUUACAUGUACUCUGGCAGAAAAGAAACAAUAAUAAUUUUGGAGGACUUACCCUGUCAACUUUAUUUCCAACCAGAAAUUUGAUGCAUUCAUGAUUGGUGGAGUAGAGCUCGACUUCCUUUGCCCAAAUUUCGGACAGGUUGGUGAAGGUUUCUCGCCGUGUCACAUCAUAGACUUUAAACAACAAAGAAAUUAGUAUUCAAGUCCCCAUAAUUUAGCUACAUAAGCAGAAAUAACAUCAUAAUAGUCUCCACAACUAUUAACAAUACUUCUUAAACAAGAAAGUAUUGAACUAUUUUGAUCAUAUGAUGAUUAAAGUACUUAGAAAUACUCAGAAUGUAUGCAGCCAAAAAAGAGGAAAUGAACCCAGAAUGCCACAACAUGUUGUUUAGGCUGCUUUCUAGACUAUGACAUAGACUUUAUCCUCAAUAUAUAAUAUUGGUUGUAUUUUGAAUAAAAGAUAAGAAAGCACAAUUAUCUUAAAAAAAGAGAAGAUUUUUACAGAAAAUAAUAAUAAGGCUAUUAACUUAAUUCUUCAUCUACUUCUAAAUGUACUAAACAGAUGUUUAAAUCUUCCACAAACCUCUUUGAAAUUUUAUAAGAAAAAAUAUAAUGAAAAUAGAAAUAUUUCAUCAGACUAGUUAAGAAGUAUUUAGAUAUUCCACACAUUUUGUAUGGUAAAGUGGGGUCAGUAUUUUCUAACUCCGUGGAACAAGAAUGACUAUUCCACAAUGAAAAACAAAAUUUUCUUUUUAGACUAAUAUUUAUUAAUCAAAUAUGAUAUCUGAGUUCAAAGCUUAAAUAGAUGAGAAAUCCAAUAAGCAAUAGUGACACUUGGUUAACCAAACAGUUGCAUGAUAAAAGCACCAGCAUGCAUGAGGUUAAUGGUAAAAUACUACAUAUACAAGGCUUCAAGGAUCUUGGAUAACGGAACUAUGAGGGGAAGAACAUGCACAUAAGACUAAGAAUAGAAGAUGUGAAGUGUCAUCCAUUCACAUAUGCCAUCAAGCAUCAGCUUGAUUAUUGAUGUCCAUUACUUGUUAGAAAAAAAAAAAAACAAUUACCAUAUCAAAUUACAAGCUACAAAGGAAAAUCCAAAUUCAGCAAACUAUAAUUACCUACAAAUAUUCUGGAUUAAAUGUUUCAUAUUUGCAAGGACAUACCAAGGAUAAUCCCAUGGGCACCCCUAUAGUAAGAGCUAGUUAAUGUUCCAAAUCUCUCCUGACCAGCUGCAAUAAGUAAAAGAUAUUCUCAACAUGAGAACUAGGUGCAUAAUAAAUUCCCGGCUCUAGUUCCACAAUAAUGAAAGUUAAGAUUAGCCUGUAGAAAGAAAUAAACUCAUACUGAACAUCAGAAAUGAUAUUGGAUAGACACUUUCCUUCUAAAGUACAAGGGGCAUAUCCGAGUUUAGAGGCUAAGUUUCUGCUAUUAUUAACUCAUAGUGUAGAUCUGCAGUCAUUGGACUCUUUAUUGAUGAAUAUUCCACAUUUAAAUCAUCUAAAUGAAAAAAUCAAUAUUAUGGAAACCAUGAUGUUGGAGAUUUAAGUUUAUAUCCAAGGUGUACUAGGGUAAAAAAAAAGAUCAUAAACAACAUAAACUUACAUGCACACCUUUGCACACGCACAUACAUACUUGUAUGCAAAAGAACAGAACAUUUAAUCAUGCCUUUGAAGUCACCAGACAGAGAAAAAUGUUUAAGAAAAAAGUUCAUUUGUCCCUAAAAUGCUGGAGAUAUGAGAAUGAAGCUUCUUGCAAUUGUAUGCUUUUUUAUUGAGUACCCAAGCAUUCGUAUUAUACACAAGUCCACAUAAUUGUUAUAAUAGAUCAACAACAAUGAGCUGUCCCACCCAAAAAAAGUGAUAUAAUACCACACAAGAAAAUUAACAGUGCCUGUGAUAUUAGUACAUCAGUAAACAAACCUUAGUUGCUCUUUGCUGCAACAGUUUGAAUAUAUGUCAAACAGCUGGUUCCAUUCUAGCAUUGACAUCAUUUUGAAUUAAAAAUUUCUUUCACUUUAUUAUUAAUGAAAAUGAUGCAUUUAUAUCAAUAUAUAAGCAGGUAUACUUCCUAUAAAUAUGAUACACGACAGGUCUUGGUUGAGGCUUCUCACUAACCCAUCUGCAACCCUUUCAGAAAUAAUUCUUGUAAUAUUCUUUCACUAACACCAUGCAAGCAGGAUCUCAGUUCAUAAAUAUUAGCAUUUACAGCUCCAAUGAGAAAUAUAAGAGAACCCAUUAUUAGAAGGUACCCAGCUGUAUAAUAUGCUACUGAGACUUCCAGCUAUAUGUUUCUAGUUAUAUAAAUCCAUCUUUUGCGCUGCAUCUUAUGAAGGGCACCCUUUCCAGUAACUGUUUGGCCAACAUUUACUUUUUCUGUAACCUUAAAACCUGCUUCCUUCUGUUCCAACAAUGUAGCAGCACAUCCAACACAAAGCAUACCAUUGCCUCACAUAAGCACUCAUCAAUGCUACCUUCACUCCCCUGGACACAAGAUCAGUCCAAUACCCUAGAGCAGCAGUGGCAUCAGAAUUAUAGGCUUAACAAUUAUUUCAUCCUUGCUUCAAUAUCUCAGAGUUCCUUUCAACAUUUGCUGUAGUAUACAUUUGCUGUAGUAUCUAAUUUUUUUUUUCUGAUCAUCAGUAUAUUAAUCCUAUCCGUUCAACUUUUUUCUUAAAUCGUCCUAGAUGUCCUUUUUCUUGCAACUUAAUAGAUAAGCUUCUUUGCUCCCUAGGACCCAUCAGCGCAUGCAACACUUGCACAUCACACCUCAGAUGCAGUCGUUAUAUUCCUACUACAUGAUUCAGCAGUAUAUAACAACAGAAGUUUAGCCUUGAUAAUAAUUGCACAAUUACCGGGAAAUAUCUAAAACCCUUUUACUAGCAAUUCCCCGAAGUUGUAUAUUGGCCCAUCAGGCAUUCAACUAAAAUCAGAUUCUAAACAUCAAGUAGCAUAUCAGAUUCCAAAGUGAAUUUUUCUGCUUCCAGAAGCUCUUCGAAUCAUUUAUUGCUAAACUUCUGAGAACUUACAUAUAUUGCUAAUUCCUCUUCUCAUAAUCAUUUUGAUUCAAAGAUCAAAGUGACACAUCCUUGAGAUAAUCAAAAUAUUAUCAAACAUCCUUCAAAUUCCCGGUUGUUUCUAACAAGGAUGAAAACCAUUCUGACCCUUUUUCUCAAUGAAGACUCCAAAGGAGUGCAGCAAAACUAAUCAGUACCAUGCAAAACAGGUGUGUAACUAUUAACUAACAAGAUGCAAAAGGUAUUCAGACAAUGAAAUCCUAUCAAGAUCCAUGCAGUGUAUAGGUCUAAGCAAAAAUUAGUUGCAAAUUGUUGGCAAUAGCCAUCAAUUACCUGUGUCCCAAAUUGUAAGUUUCAAUCUUUUCCCACCAAUUGUGACCAUCUUGAUUUUGAAAUCCACCCCUGGAGAUAUUCAAAACAACAAACAACGCUUAAUAAACAUCAUACAUAAAAGUUUAGAACACAUACACUGCGGUACAACUAAUUUUGAAAGCUUAAUAAAAAUCAUACAAAAAAGCUUAAUUUAUGUGUUAUCUUCAAAUCUUAUUUUGUUUAAUAACAAGUUCUAAGCAAGUCAUUACGAGUGCAAACCUUUGCCAUAACAGGUGGAUCCUAUAAUGACCAGGAAAGGGCUCAAGACCAUAGUGCAAAAUUGUUUCAAGGAAAACUAAAAUAAUUUUCAUGCCUAGUUUUUACAGUUAUCUACCCAGUUGCAAUUGCCUGUACUGUUCAUACGUCCACUGUUUCAUUAUGCUAAUUGAACUAAAACAACCUAAAGCACGGAGUCAAUUUCCCGAAAAUUAUAAGGCUAAGCUUCUUAUAAGCACUGAGAAGAUAUCCAUUUUAACUUGAAUGAAACAAAAUUACACUCUGAACAAAACAAUUUCACCUAAGUUUAUUCUUUUUUGGUUUACCUCUCAACUCCCAUCCCUUCUUUCAUUCCUGUUACCCUUAUAUCAAACUUCCUAAAUACAUUCAAAGGAAAAAAAAGCAUUGAUUCUAAUUCCUUCUCUUGAAUCUCUUGCCAACCCAAUACAUAAAAACAACCACUUUCAUUCAUUUCAUUUCUUUUUUAAAAGGUUUAAAGAUACAAAAAGAAUAUAUAUAUAUAUAUAUGAAUAUCAAAUAAAAGAAAACUCAAAGUAAAUUCUGGGUGUGAAUCCCAAAGCCAAAACCAAAAAGCAAGAACAAAAACAUAGCAAAAAAGAGUUGAAAUAAAAGAGUAGAGUAGUUACCAAUGGUAGGAGAAAGAUCAUGAACAAAGUUGGAGAUGAAAGUAACAAGUAAACUACUUUUGCCAACACCAGAAUCACCAAUCAAAAGUAUUUUAAAUGAAUAAUCAUACUUGUUAUUCCCUCCUCCCUUCGAAGAAGAAAAACCCAACAUUUUUUAAAGUACAAAAAAAAAGAAAAUCUUUUUUUUUAAUCUUUCUCGUUUAAAGAUGGGUUCUUUUUGUAUUCUUCUCUGUUCAUCAACAAAAAGAAACUAGAAAAAAAAAACCAAGAAAGAUCAAAAAGAGGAACAAAAUAAGGAAAUUUCCUCAGGUGGUAGUAGACAUAGACAAUGGUGGGGUUGGCGGGUAGUGUUUAUUAACAGUUGCCCGAAGAAAGAUUGUACAGCAAAAUAUCAAAAAUUAAAAAAAAAAAUGCCUAGCCGGAUUUUUGGCAUUUAGUAGUUUGUCUUCAUGUCACUUAACUAUGCUGCUUUUACGGGAACUCUUAUCAAUUCUCAAGUUUCAUUCCAUGGAGGUUGCCUCCUUGUCACAUUGCAUGAACAUGACGGGCAUGCGGCUAUCUAAGUUACAUCGAAAAUUUGACAAAAAUCCGUUAUGAAUAUUUUAAAGAUUUAAAAAACUUAAUGAUUAUUUAAAAAUAAAGAAUUUAGUUGAAAUGAUAUUAAAGUUAAAAUUAAAAAAUUAUGAAUUUAAAAAAAUUUAUGCACCUAAUAUUGCUUUUUGUCAUAGUCGUAUAAGAAUAAAAAAGCUCAAAAUAAAUUAAAAAGUUCAAAAAAAAAAUAAUAGGAUGAACUGAUUUUUAAAUUUUAAAUUAAAAAGUUUAGUUGAAUUAAUUAAAUUAUUAAUUUAAAUUAAAAAGUUGAGUCGGGUUGAUUUUAAAAUUUUUACAAUUUGUCAUAUUUUUAGAUUAAGGAUAACAAUUAAAUUAAGGUAAAAAUAAUAAAAAAGCUUAUGAACUUUAUCAUUUUAUUUAAAUAAAUUUUUAUAUCUUUAUUAUACUUAAAUAAAUUUUUAAAUUUUAAUUUACAUCCAAAUAAAAUUUUAACUUUUAAUUUAUAUUUAAAUAAAUUUGUAACCUUUAAUUUGUACCUAAAUAAAUAUUUAACAUAAAUCAAUCUAUCAUUUAAAUUAAAAAUUUAUUUAGAUAUAUUACAAAUAAAUAAAUUUUUGUGACAAUAUUUUAAUAACGUUUCAUUAAUAAACAUUAUUAGCUUUCGUGUUUUCACAAUCAUAACAACGUUUAUUUAACAAACACUACUAAAUUUGAGUAUAACAACAUUUAUAAAAUAAAACACUGCUAAUCAUUACAAUUUUACGGUGUUUAAGUAGAAAAAACGCUGCUAAAAUGUCCUCAAAUUUUAUUUAAAUGAAAAUAUAAUUUUCUCAAAACUCGUUUAAAGUCUAAACGGCAAGGUGUUAGUUAUUUAGCUGUUAGUGAACGCCGCCAAUUUUCCUUUUUACAAGCUCAUUACGUUUGUGUAAUAAACGCUACAAAAUCUUCUUAUAACAGCAUUUAUAGUAUAAAAUUUUCAGCAUUUGCAGCAAUUUAGAAGCAAAAGUUCUUCUAAAUUUAGUGGCAUAACAUAUUAAAAUAUACUGUUUAAUAGUAUUUAGUGGCGUUUGUGCCCCCAAAUUAAGACUAAAAUUUCGACCCCCAUAACACUUCUGUUCUUUUCUCUCCCAAAGCUUAUCAUCAGAGCCCAGUUUAGUUUUUUUUUUUUCUUUUUUUCCUGUUUAAUUUUCCUGUUCUAGCUUAAACUUUACGUUUCUUCUUUUUUUCUUUCGAAUUUUGAGCACAAAUUUUGAACUGAAACCCAUUCGAAAGCUCAAACUUGAGACCCAUUCGAAUCCAUCUUCUCCAGUGGACCACCGCCAACCAGCCUGUUGUUCGGAGCUAAGCGGCAACCUCCGAUACCACAACCACCUUCUUCGGUUAAGCAUCACUGGCCAACUCUUCCAACCCUUUCUGGUAUGCUCUUCCUCAGCCCCUUUCUGGUAUAUAGUAAUAUAUGGAAGUUUUCAGAAAGCUUUGGAAGUUUUCAGAAAGCUUGAGAAGUUUUCAGCUUCUACGAAAUGUGUAAUAAGCAUAUUUUCUUUCUUAACCUUCUAUUUUCAAUAAUAUGAGCAUUAAUAUAGUGCAUUCAUCCUGUCAUUCUAAACGUGGCGAUGUUACAAAAUAGGCGAGCUUUAGAUAAAGCAAGAAUGAUUGCGAUACCAUUUCUCUCUCUCUCUCUCUCUCUCUCUUUAGAUGGAGCUUUAGUUGUGCAUUCAAAGCAAGAUUUGUUAGGCCUCUAUUUCACAAGGGUUUUUUUUUUUGUUUUUAAUUUAAGCUCUCUCUCUCUCUCUCUCUCUGUAUUUCAUUAAUAUUAUAUUAUUUUUAUUUUUAUUGAUCAAAAUUUUAAAUUUUGGUUUUAUUUUAUUUAAAAUAUUAUUAAUUAAAAAUACAAAAUACUUUGUAAAACUUUGAAUAAAUAGAUAUUUUUAAAAAAUAAAUAGAAAAAAUUGAAAUAUUAAUGCUUUAAUUGUAACAAUUUACAUUUAGACAUUAUUUACGGAAAAAAAUUAAAAUAGUAAAACCACUGGCAUUAUCCCACAAUGGACCUUAUAAUUUAAAAUACAAUAAGAAAAUGUUAAUAAUACAUGUUAAAAUUUUAACAAAAAUCAUGUAUGAGUUUAACCAAAAAAAUUAUGUUUUUUGUGUUAACACAAAUAAAAUACAUAAUUUUUAUAUAAAAUACGAUAUUAAUAUAUAAAUUAUUUGUAUUUUACACUAUAAAUAUACAAAUUUUCAUAUUUAUCACACAGAAAAUCUCAAUUAAAAGAUCAUAUGUAGUUAGGAAAUGGCUUCAUUACUCAUUUUUCAAACAAAGCCAAGUUGUAGGAAAACGCUUAGGUUUCAUUUAGAUUUAAACACUACCUGGAUACAAUGCGGUUUAACAACUUUUUGGUGCAAUUGCACCGUUUGAGGUCAUUUGGUUAACAAUCAAUGCAAUGUCCAAAUACAAAGCCAAUAAUUUUAAAUUCAAGGAAAAAGAACCAGUGAGCCACUACACUGGACCUUUUGAUCAUAAUAUCCCUAAUUUUCUUCUCGCUAGUUUGCAGAACCGCGCAAUGCUGCAGACUGCAUAAUAAUAAAGUAAAUAUUGUUUAAACAUAAUAUUCAUUAUCUUAAAACUAUACCUCUAUAUUCUUUCUUUAAUAUCAUUUUCCUUUUAACAUCAACUCUCUAUCCAACAUAUCACCGUCUAUAUUGUAUUCAGCUCUGCCAUCAAAAAAUAAUGCCCAUUAGAAAUUGAGCAAAAGAAGUACCAAAAUUAUGGUUGGGAAUAAUUCGCAAUCUUAAAUAAUGAUGUCUCAAACAUCUGUAAGCAUCUCAUUAUAAAAAGUUCAUGAAAAACUUUCCAUUCAUUUUUCUUUCAUGUCAAAUAUCUCAAUGAAAGGAUCUUCAGGUCCAUUUCGUAAUUCUACUGAUUAUAAACUAUUUUAUUUUCAAAGUAGAACAGCAUUACAACAACAGACUUCAAGUCACAUAACUUUUGUUUUCCCAAUUUUCUAGCUAUAGCUUUAAAUUCUUGAAGAUUUAAUUCUUAACAAUAAUAUUUUCAGUUUCAUAGCUAAGCUUGAUCAAAAUUAUAACAUCUAGCUUUUUGACCAAAACUCCUAUCAAAACUAAACAAAAAGUUACUUAAAAUUUCAUCUUUCAACUGUUUAUUUGUCAAUUACCAACCCUGUAACCGCUAAAGCUUUCAGAACCACAUAUGACAUAUAGAAAAGUAGAAAAUCUUAGUAUAACAGAAAACAGUAACUAAAUCACCUUUAGACCCACAUGCCAACACCCGGCGAACUCAUCUAUGAACAUUAUAAAAUUAACAUUUCCUUAUUUCUAGUAAUCCUACAACUCCAUUUUCUAGCAAAAUAACAGAACAUUCACUUAAAAUCUAGGCACGGUCUUAAUGUCUAUUGAGAAAAUUUCUCGAGAUUAAAUUAGAAGUCCAGCCAUGCACUGAAGCAAAACAUGCAUGCUUGGGCAAAAGCAAGUUUUGAAUUCCAAAAUUUGUUGCAACCUUGCUGUCAUAACAGACCUCUAAGUAUGAAACUAAAUGCAUUACUAUAGAAAAUAACAAAAAAGUCAGCAUGGAAAAAAAAAAAAAACUGAUAAAUACCUCUAUAGCAGUUUGCACAGAACUUGCCAUUUCAAAUUCUACAAAACCAAAACAGAACCCCUGUAGUUAAAUACAAAGAAAAUAUUAAUUAAAUAUACAGUCACAAUUUAACACAUUGAAAAAUGAGUCAACAUCUACCUUCUGACUUCGAACUUGAAUACCACCACUCUUAAUAGGUGCAAACUUCUUAAACUCAUUCUCCAGCAUACUAGGUGUAGCAUUGAAGGGCAGACCUAUGACGCAUAUAGAGGGACCCUCAGCUGUCCACAAUCAAAAGAAUUUGCAAGUAAAUCAUAUGCACAAGCAAGUAGAUACAAAAAUAAAUAAUCAUAAAAGGCAGACAAAGAAUAAACUAAAUGCUUAGUAUUUGAAAAUUUUGCAGGAAUAACAAAAAAGUAGAUACCUUUUAUAAUUUGAUUAUUCCCAUUUUCUGUAACAUUCUUGCUGGAAAUCUGUGUGUCAGAUGCAGGGGCUGGAGCAAUAGAGGUGUAGUAGUUUUCGGUUGGUCGUAGUUCUUAACUGCAGACUUCACAGUGGAAUGUGUAGGGACCUUCAUUUUCACUCUCUUUUCAUCACUCACUAAAUGCCGCCUUUCUGCUGCCAUUUUCUAUUUUGGUAACCCUUUCUCUACUUCUCUGUCCAUUUUCAGCCCAUUCAAUUCUCUCUCCCUCUUUUUUCACUCUUUUCAACCCUUUUGAAAUCUUUUACUGCUAGAAUAGGGACAUAAAUUCAAAGUUACAGAAAAAUAAUGGUCAAGAGCAUGGGAAGAGAAAUAACUUUGACUUCUUUUUUUUUUUUUGUUUCCCCGUGAAUGCUAUACCAUCUUAUAUUUUUAUGCAAGCAAAAACCAUUUAGUUCAACCUCAUGGGUUUAGUCAUUGCCUAAAUUCAAUAUUGAUUCUAUUUGUCACCAAAUGACUGUAACAAAGUUUAGCAUGAGUUCAAUCGGAUUUUUAUUAAUUACAGUUUGAUGGCAAUAAUCAUUAAUCUACCAGACCUCAUACCUCAAAUAUAUUUGAUCAAGCAAAGAUUUAAAAGAAUAUUUGUUCCUAAACUUAGGUGCUACUGGUGUAAUAAACCAAUUAUAAAACAUGAGGAAAUGACUCAUUUCAAACUCAGCAGUGACUUAAAAGAUCUCAAUUCAAGACAAUAACUGAAACAAAAGAAUCAUUCAUGUCAAGCCCAUUAUUCUUUAUUAGAAAUAUUCAUCCUAUAUGUCACAGUAAUAUUCCAUAAGCCCAUAUAGAAUACAUCAUUAUAAACUAUACCAUAACAUGCUACUCACCAUUUCUUUACCAUUGCUUGCAUGCAUCCCUAUCGCAUAAAAACUAAUAACUUUUUUAACAGCAAAACUAAUUAUCCAAACUGCUUUUAGAAUGUAUGCAAGAGAUUGAAUGGCUAAGCCAAGCCAACAGUUGAAUCCAAUUUAGAAAGACCAUACAAUCAACUCUCCAUUUCAUAUAGUAGAAGGGAAACCCCCACAUUCUAUUGAGCAGUUUAGUGCAUGAACUGAAAAAUUGCAAAAACCUUUUACUGUCGCAAGGCCGCAUGAAAUUCUCAGUGAUAUAUUUCAGAGUCAAUCUUACAACAUAAAUUCAAGAAAGAGAACCCAGUAAAAAAAUCAACAUUAAGUUAGAAUAACAAAAAUGGAUUAUAACCUAUUGCUUUUUUUUUCUGCUUUAAGCAAAUAUGCCAACACCUGCACGCUAAAUAGGAUUCCACCAAAUCCACAACUUUAAUAUGAAUAUGUUAAUCAAGUUAUAUUCACUGUUUGUAUGUAAGCAUUACCAUACAUGUUGGAACAUAUUCAAAAUUUACGAUGAAUUAUAACAACCCACCAAAUUCCCAUAACUUUUAAUAUAAUAUGCAAUCAACAUAUCCACAACUUUCAUUUUUGAACUUGCUACCAGUGUGUAAGACAAUAAACUUUUUUUGAAUAUGUUGGAACACUGAGAUCAAAUAGAAGUUAGAGCCUAACACCAUCAUUUAUGAGUUUUUCUUCACAAUAGGGAUGAAGAUAAAAGCAGUACCUUCAUAUCCCUAUGAAGAACACGGUUUGAGUGUAGGUAGUCCAUAGCCAACAACAAUUGAGUCAUCCAUUUGCAGAUUUUCUAGGGAACCAGAUUGAAUACCAUCUGUAGCAUUUGCAUAUAAGUAGUUCAAUUGCAGGAAUAUUGUAUUACCUCCUCAGGAAAGUGCAUACAUUUGGCCUUCUUAAUAAGCUCAGCCCUGAUUCCAACAAAAAAUGUAAGAUCCCCAAUUAGUCUUUCAUAAGCAUCAGACAGAAUCUGCUAUCUUUUUUUCAUCCCGAAUCGCUAUUUUGUUACAUUGUAAUCAAAUAAAAGCAGACAAUCAAUAAAACAUACAAUAUAGCUAACUAUAAAAUCCCACUCAUCAACUUUACUGGAGAGAAAUUAUUCUUUUCAUCAUCGACUGUUUCUGUUGAAAGAUUAAAAAGUUGAAAAUAAGAUAUAUUCAGUUUUUUAAUCACUUCUUAACCAAUCUGGCAAGUUAAAUCUUAUAUUCCUCAAUUACCCUUUUAGUUUUUUUUUUUUAAAUACAUUAAUGAUGUGUCCAGUAAAUUAGAAAGUGGGAAGUCAGGGGAUUAAAAAACUAAAUCUUAAAGAAAAUGAGGAAGAAGAAAAUAUACCGAAAUGAGAGUACGAAUCAAAGUAACAAUCAGCACAGGCUUUAUCAUCAUCGCCGUCGCAAUCAACAAAAGAGACUUCAGAUUCUCCCAUGGAGACAUCUUCGAUAGCUUUAUCAACGGCGACAAUUGAAUCGUCGAGUUUCGAGCUAUCGGUGGCAACUUCCUCAUCAUUGGCGUCUUGGAAACAAACCUUGGUUGCUUCGAAUUUGUUCGAAGAGCUUCUUGUGGUUUGUACUUUCCAAGGUUUGGUGCAUGCAAGUUCAAAAGCAUCUGGAUGAACAAAGAAAAAAUUAAAUGACAACUCACCUGAUCCUCCUCUUUCUCGUCCUUCUUUUUGGGGUCCUUGGCCGGAGCCUUCGUCUGAGAAGUUUCGACGUCGUUUUCGAAUCUGACAUUAGCUUUACUUGGUAGUGAGAGGGAUACGAAGAAGGGAAUAGGAAAAAGAAAUCUCUUUUCAAAGAACUAAGAGGCUUUUGGAGAAGUUAAAAGACAAAAAUGACCCCCCACUGAUUUGAUUUACAUUGCCCCGCUGUCCCAUUAAAGCGAAUUGAGACAGCUUUUAUAUAUUCCUUAAAUUUUUUUAUUUUUAUUUUGUAAUGAUAUUUAAAUUAGUUUAUUUUAUAAUUUAUAAGUUUAGUAUAUUUUAUUAAAUAAAUACAAGAAAUAAUUGUGUUAAGUUUUAAUUUGUAUAAAUAUAUUAUUAUCAAAUUUUUAAUAAAACUAUCAUGUAACAUAAAAUAAUUUUAGUAAUUUUUAACUAUUUAUUAACUUCAUAAAUGACAAGUAAUUUAAAUUUUUUAUUAUACACAAAUUUUAAUUUGUUGUCCAUAAUAAUCAUUUUCUUUUCUUAUUAUAAUUCACUUUAGCAACAUUGUUUCAUUUGUAUCCAAACAUAUAUUUUACUACUAAUUUUAAUUUUAUUGUUAUAAUAAUUAAUCUCACUAAUAUUUUUAUUUUCAAUCUUCAUCAAAAUUAGUUUCAUUAUUUAUCCAAGUAGAUCCUUAGGCUACAUUGUCUAUUGAAAUAGAUCCUUAGGCUAUUAAUAAGUACAACACUACUAACCAUUUCAUUAAAGAUUUUAACUUGGUUAACAAUCAAACAUUUUGCAUAAAUAGCUAUUUAUAUCUUUUUUUAUUAUUUUUUUGAAAAAAAAUCUUUAUUCCAAAUAUCGACAAUCCUCACAAUUAGAGGUUGCCUAAGAGGCAUAAAAAUAAUUAUGUUCGAUGAAAAAUUGGAACUUCAAGUCAAGAUAACCCAAAUCAAACCUUAAAAAAAAUUUUAUUAGGCUAAAUGCUUAAAUUCGGAUUAAAAGUUUGGGUAAUUACUCAAUUUAAAACUAAACAUUUAUAAUUUAUACAAAUAAGAAUUAAACGUUAUCGAUUUGUAAUAAUAUGAGUUUUUUUCAAUAGAAAAUUUGCUAUAAAAGAUAUGCGCCGUUAAGUUUAAAACUGCUACAAAUAAAAAUGACAUGGAAUUAAGCUUCUAAUUCUUGAAUGACAGAUGGAAAGGCUUUUGUCUUCUUUUUUUUCUAAGCUAAUUUCAUUUCAUUUCUUUUUUUCUUUAUGAAUUGAAGUCUACAAGUCUACAAAAUUUGCGCUACGAUUUUCUUUCUCUUCUUAUUCUGUCUAAAUUUUAUGCUAUUUAUUUCUCUUUAUUAUUUUUUUCACACCAAAAAAAAAGUCAAUGAUGUCUUUUCUCCCUACUCUGCCCAUGUUUUUUUCUACCCAAUUCGUUUAAGAAAUGUGGAAUCAAUACUUUAAUGUUUGAAAAUUUCUAGAUUGAUUUUAGGUCGCUAAAAAUGACUGACGACUCGGAUCUUAUGCAAUGGUGAGGGGUUGUACUUCUAUCGCAAUACCAUUACCAAUAUAGUAAGUAAUAAUCUCCCAAGCAAAGAUUUCACGAAUGAGAAUAAUAGUAGUUGGUGUGAGGACCCUUUAGCUUACUUGGCUUCUUUGACAUUUAAGGUAGAAAAUAAACUGUUUUCAUGUCCUAAUCUUUCAUAGCUUAGAAAAAGUGGUUGUUUGAGAGAUUCUUGUAAGCCUUUUUUGUUAUAUGUUAACCUCACCAUCAUAAACACUAAUUAAGGUAUAAAUCCCAGCUAUUCAAGUUCUGUUUUAGAAGCUCUAGUAACCAACUUCAUUAGCAUCCAAACUUACUACAAUAGUAAGAUUGUAACAAGAAUUUAAGCUUUGAAGAUGGGCUAAAAAUGAUUUUUAAAGAGAGAAAGAAAGAACUAAUUACUUUUUUAAAGAGAGAAAGAGUAAGAAGACGUCUGUCUCAUAUGCCAUUCUUUGACUUAAUCACCAUGAAAAAGCCAAUUUAGUUCCACUUUAUUCUUUCAUGCAUGAUAACAGCACAUAUCUUUCACAGUAGGAUUUUUGUUGAAAAAAUCUUACAUUGUUAAAAAUCAACAACAUUUAAUCUUCAUUUACAUAAAUUAAAACGUUUAGUUCUGAAUUGAGCAACCACUCAAAUGUUUAAUCCCAAAUUAAGUAUUUAGCUUUUUUAUUAUCAUUUGUUCUUUGAUAUCCAAGAAAGUAAAAAAUUUCAUGUACAUAAGGUAUGAAUUGAUCUUCGACAAAAUCAUAUUGUUAUGAGGUAAAGUUUUUUUAAGUAUUUACUUAUAAUGAAAAAUUUUUAACUUGAAAGGAAGUGUCAUCAUUCUCAUUGUAGUUUCAAAAUCUUACCCUUAAUAGUUGCAUCAAACUCAAACCUUAACAAUUAUAUUAAUUCAUUUAAAUUACUCAAGAGUUGAUUAGUAAUUAUUUGAAAAACAAGUUUUGACCAAGCAUAUUAAGUUUAACAUAUUAAUGCUAAAGUUGAUAUUUACAAGCAUAAUACUUAGAAACAAACAUAUAGAAUAAAUGAUAAUAAUUUAAGUUUGCAUGUAAAAGAAUACGAUUACUUAUCAAAUUUUAUUAUAGAUAACACUUGAAAAAUUUUAAGGCAUAACUUGAAUGAUCAACUAUCUUGACCAAUAAAGAAUCUAGAAUUUUCAUGGAAUAGGUGUAAAUAUAGUAUAAAUAUUUACUUAUAAAAUUUUGAUUAUAUUAUAUAGAUAUUAAUUAAUAACAGAAACUCAUCCCAUUCAUACUAAUGAAAAUUUUAGAUUUCACUAAUGAAAUUGAAAGAUUGACACAUAUUAUUUUAUGUUAAAUGUUUAAGUUAAAAUUAAACAUUUAGGUGGUUGCUCAAUUUAAAACUAAAUAUUUUAAUUUGUACAAAUAAGGAUUAAACAUUAUCGACUUGUAAUAAUGUAAAUUUUUUUUUUCAAUAGAAACUAAGAUAUGCAUGUAACACACUGUUAAAUUAGUCACGUGUAACAGCCGUUACAGACAAAUAUGAUGCAGAAUAUGACAUGAAAUUAAGUUGCCCACAUCUAAUGGUAGGUGGAAAAGCUCAUGUCUGAUUUUAUAAGCUUAUUUUAUUUGAACUCUCUUCUUCUUUAUCUUUUUUAUUUGUAAUAUCAGAUAGCUUGAGCUUAGGAUUUAUGAGCUACCAGUCUUUUUCUCAAUUUCACCAUAAAAAGAGAAAAAAGUUUUGCUCAAAUAGCAUCCAAACACAAUAUCUUCUUUAAAUAUCAGUUCAUUUAGUAGCGUAAAUUUAAUAUUAGUAUAAAUUUUAGAUUUUUCUCAUGCUCUAAUUUUCUCUAAAUUUAUUUUUCAAAAUAUUAAAAUUGUAAAGUUUUUAAAGAAAGAUCUUAUGAUAUAAACUUGUAUAAGUUAAUUUCAACCAAUUACCCUAUAAAAUGGACUAUGAAAGAAAACUUAUUUUCUGUUACUGUAAUAUAAAAGUAGCUAGGUGAACUUUAUGGAUGAAUAGCAAUCUUAGUAAAAGGUUUAUGGAUACCUACAUUAUCUAGUAAAUUUAUGAACAAAAUAAACUUGUAAUAAAAUUUAUAUUUUUUCACUAAAUUCUUUUUUUUUUUUUUUUUGUGAUUGUAGGGCACUAUUUGUGGAUUUUAUUUAUGGCAUGAUUCUAAAAUUUUUAAAAAAGCAAAAGAGAUUAUUCUGGAGCUGAAAAAGAGAGAAAAAUAUUUAUAUAGUCAUGUUUAAAGUUUGAAAUAUGAAGUUUUAAAGUUGAAGAAAAAUGUUAGUGCAGCUAAUGGUAUUGUAGAGCAUAUGCAACUAAAAAGAGAAGUUAAUAUUUUAAUAUUGAAAUUGAAAGAAAGCGGUAAAAUUACUAGUGGUGAAUAUGGUAGAAAUGUCAAUUGGAAAAUAAUUUAGGUUAUCUCAUUCUUUUUUAUACUUAUGUUUUGUGUAAUUUUUUUUUCAAUGCCAAAAUAAAAUCUAGAAACUUAACUUGUAUGCUUGAUAGUGAAUUGUGAAUGAUAUUUGAGAUGUAAAUGUUGAUUAAAACUCUAAACACUUAUUAUAUAAAUGCCAAUUGAAUAAAUGUUAUUAGUUAUGAAUUAUGUUUCUUUGGAAUUUGAUAAUGAAAAUGUGGUUGAAUGCAAUAUAUUCAACAUGCAAUAUGUUAUGAGUAAAUUAAUCUAAGGCAAUAUAAUCAUAGAAGCAAUCUGUUAAUGAAAAUGAGUACAUAACAUGUUAUGUUUUAUAAUAAAGCAAAUGAUAAUAAUUAAUAUUCAAUCAAUAGAACAUCCUUUUUAUACAACAUUCAGUCAAGAAAACAUUCAACUACUAGAAGGUUGAAUAGAAAUUGUUCUUACAAUAUUAACAAAAAAAAAAUUAACCAAAGCUUUUAUUUCAACAGAAGCUACAACUGGUCAAAUUUUUAGUUUCCCCUUAUUUCUUUUAGAAACAAAAAUUUGACUUUCUUAAGUAAUAGUUAUAUUUUUAACAACCUUCAUCUUACCUUUACUUGUCACAACUGUUAUCACUUUUUUACUUUUCAAUUUAGGCUGUUGAAUUACAUUUAUCAAGUUAAACUGGUAAUAUUUUAUGAAACAAAAUCAUAAAUAUAUAUGUUUGAUCCAAAAUAACUUACAUUUAAAAUUUGUCUUCUUGUUUUUAAGUUUAUAUAUAAUCCAUAACCUUGCAUGCCUUUUGUCUUACUUUUGGUUGCAGCUCUUACAAUGUUCUUGUCAUUGUGACUUUUAAUACUGUUUGUUGAAAUUGCUCUCUUCCUAGUGUUUGUUGUAAAAAACUUGAACUUUAACAAGGGAUUUAUUUUUUCACUAGUCAUCCCAUAAAGUCUCCUAUCCUUAUUUAUUAAACAUUUUUCACUAGAUUUUGUUAGCUUUUCAGACUUUAAUUUUGCAUUUAAAUGGCAACAAUAGCAACAAUAUUAACUGGAUUUGAAAUUGGAAUUGAAACUAGAUUUGAAACUGGAUUUGAAACUAGAUUUAAGGUUUAUGAAGAUUUAGUUACAUUAUAAUUGAAUAUGCAAAACCAAAAAUAUUAGCUAAAGCAAAUGCAAAUAAGCAACCAAAUUUGGACGCAAAAGUAGAAGUUAAUACAUAAGCACCAUAAGUAGCAGCAGAAGUAAUACCAUGGUUGUUUGAACCUUGUGCAGCUUGAAUAGGAUCCACAAUACUUGAUACACCUUGUUCUAUGUUCUGGUUUCAGAUCUAAGCACAUGAUAAUUAUGUUGUCAUGGAAAGAAAAAUAAAGUUACAUUGAUGGGUUAGGUUUUGUACAUUUAAUAGUCAAAUUUUAUAAUAGUACAAUAUUUAUAAUAAUAAAUAAAAACAAAAUAGAAUGAAGUUAUUUGUUUGCCUCCCACAAGACAGCCACUUUUAUUUUGACCUAGUUGAUGACAUAAUUUAUUUGUCAUUAUCAUACCGUUCUUUGACAAAUUUAUUGAAUUGUUGAGCUUAUUUUUCUUAGGCUUAUCAUAAAUCAUGAUCCUUUAGUCUACUGGUUUUAGGCAUGCUUGGCAUUUUUGUAAACUUUGAGGUAGAAUUUUUUCUUUUAUCCUUGGUUUGUCUCAACUUUUUCUUCUAUCCUUGGUUUAGCCCAAUCUUUUUUACCAAGCAUAGAUUGUAAAACAUUAUUAUAAGUCUACAUACAUUUCUUUAUAAUAUCAACUAGAUACAAAAUCUUUAACAUUUUCACCUAGAUCUCUAAUUACACAUAUGACAUAUGUACAUGGGAUAUUAAAAAGUUGUACAUUCUACAACUAUAUGUUUUCUCAUCAAACUAGACAAUGAACCUAUCUAGAUCCAAAUCUAUUUAUAUCCACCAUCUCCAUUAAAUACAACUACAUAUUAUGAUGCUAUAAAUGUAUUUUUUUCUAUGACUUUUACAAUGUUAGAACCAAUCAUACCUUUUCACUUAGAACAUUUUUUUCUUAUUCUUAAUUCUUACCAUCAAAGAUCAUAUGAUGUCUUCAAAUAAAGAAAUCACUAAUUUUUUUCUUUGCAUCUAGCAAUGUCCCAUUAAAUGCUUCAUAUAAGUUAUUAUCAACCAAUUCACAUCUAAAGUAUAUGUUGAAGAAUGCUUUACACCAUUACUGAGGUAGGGCUUUUAUUAUGUCUACAAUUACAAUCUUAUUUUUUUUACAAUUUCCUCAUAUUUUCUUCUAAUUGUCUUAUUGUUGAAGAGAUAGCAAUUGUCUAAAAAAUCCAUUUCAUCUCAUCACCCUUUUGUCCUCUUUUAGCUUAAUUAACAUAUAUAUAUGCCUAGCACAAAAUCUAUGCUCAACAUUUGGAAAUAACUCUGCAAUUGUCAUCAAGGUCUUACAAGUGAUUAGUUUAAGCAUUGAGAACAUUAUUUAAUUUAAAUCAGCAUUUAAAUAUUUACUUUUAUUAAUUUGUCAUGAUUGUCUAGCCUAUUUCAUUUCCUAAAGACAUGAUGUCUAAUUCAACAAAUUAAAAAAUCAUUUUCAUGAAACUGUGCAUUCCACUUCCACCAACACCUAAGUCACUGGAACCAUUUGAUUAUUUUUACCUCUAUAAACAACACAUAGCAACACACUUUGUCAAGCUUUUAAGCCAAUAACCAUUUAGUCUAAAAAAAGGCCUAUAAUCACUCUUUAAACAUUUUUUAAAUGCCUCGAAAUAGAUAAAAUACCUUUUAAAUAUAAGUGGAGAAGUUAGCAAUGACCUAUGAACUUGCAUCUUCACUAAGUUGCCUUUAUUAAUUUCUCUGAUCACAUAAGCAUAAUCCCAUAAAAGUUCAAACUCAUCCAUAUAAUUGCUAAUCACUUUAUCAACCAUCUCUUUUUUAGCCCUUCUUAUUAUGCUAAUAUUUAUCUUCGUAUCAAAUGCUUUCUUAACUAACUCCUACACUUUUGCAUUCUUAAUAAAAUGAUUUUUCAUAAAUUUAUUUUUAUACAACUCAAUCAAAAUAGCUUAACUUAUACUUAGGUUUUUGAAAACUUUAUUACAAUCAUGAGUGUUAUUGUAAGUCUUCACUUGAAAUGAUUACAACUUUCUUUCAUAAGCAAACAUUGUUUUAUAGCACACUUAUCGCCCUAACCAUAUCUUCAUUUUUUAUCUUCACUGCCUCAAAUAUAUCUACAUUACCUACCCUUACUUCCUCAACUAUAUUUUCAUUCCCUAUUAUUAUUUUCUUAACUACAACUUCAAUUCCUAUCCAUUUAUUUCCUACUACCUCAGCUACAUCUUUUACUUUAGGUCCUAUUAACAACUCAAGAGCUAAAACAACUUCAUCUAUACCAUAUACUAUAUACACAUAAACUACACCAAGAUUUACCAUAUACCUAUUCGUAUCAAAAGUGCUUCUAUCAUCAUUUACUAUCAUUAACACAUUAGCUAGUGUUUUUUCAUGUUUCAAAACAAUAUCUAACUAAUAUUCAUAUACUUAGCCUCAUUAUAAAUGUCUAAUAACUCAUAGUAAAAUGUCUUAUGAGGAUCAACUACCAAGCCCUCUACUAUCUUAUUUAUAUAUAUAUAUAAAAUUAUGACCAUUACUCAUUCUAGCAUAGUGAAAUCAUAGAAUACAAUAAUCAAAACUUAUACUGCAAAAGCAAAAAAAUUAAAUUCUAUUACAAUAUAAAUUAAAUUUGAACAAGAAUCAUUUCAAUAGUAAAUAAAAAAUCUAUUCAUUUUAUAUAAAAUAGACAAUGACAUAGUGAAUAAAUAAUAAAAAAAUUAAAAGUAAACAUUCAAUCAAUAUGUAAUAUUCAGAUUGUUUCUAACUAGUAGUGCUAUUUGUUGGAUUAGUUUAACAUGGAUAAUGCAUAUUUUUAAGUAAGGCAAGCAAAGUAAAAUGCGUGGUUGAUUGCAUUCGCUAAAGCAAAACCUAAGUGGUUUUUAUCAUGUCUCUGAUAAUGAAAAUUGCAAUUAGUUUGCGAGUGCAUGUGCCUCUAAUUACUCCCCUAAUCACUCGUACUUAUAGCAAAUCCAUACAUAGAGCUUUUGCCUUUAUAUGGGCAACUAAUGGUGUUGGGAAUAUUCACCAAUAAAAAUAUGUAUAAAAAAAUUUCUUAUCUACUUUGUUAUAUUAUUAUUCUUAUUAGUACUAUAAGUGCAUGUUAUAAAAUUUUGUGUUAUAGAAUGGAUAUAAGGACUUCUCUCUUGUUACUUUAUUUCUAUACUAAUUAAGAGUGAAUGAGAAUCACUAACAUCAUAGCUUUUCUUUUCUUAUAUAUAACAAGAUAGCCUUACUGCUUGGUGAAGACCACCAUUAUAAAGGAGAUUCAAUCUACCCACACUAGUGGAGGCUUAAGUGAUAAGUAAGAAUCAUUUUGUUUUUCAACAAAAGAUAAUGACAUGCCUAAUUAUUAUUGACAUGGGAUCAACAUAUAAUCUCUUUUUUAAAAAACAUGUUCAACAUAACAACUACAUCUAGAUAUUCAGAGUUUAGAUAAGUUUCAGAUAGGAUAAAGUUCUUCCAUCUUUCAUUAUGCACAAAAGCUCUAAAUAUUUAAAAUUAAUGUAAGGUCAAAGAAACAAAAGCCUAUAUAAACAAUUAAAUAAUUACAAUCAAUCACUUACCACUAUGGGUUUUUUUAGGAUAUAAGUCUUUGUAAGGGAAACAGAAAAAGAUAUCUAAUUACAAAUUUGAGCAACAGAGAAUAAGAGCAGAAAACUCUAAACGAAUAUACCUAACUAUGAAAAACAACAAAAAUAUAUAAAUAUUAUUCACCUCACACAAAAUUUAACAAAAAAAAAAAAACAACAAUUAACCUUUCAAAUUUAGAGAGCUCAAACAUUGAACCCUAAAUAGAAUCAACUCUUAAACCUUGAACCAAAUGAUUGUUUGAACAUAAUCAAUUGGCAAAAAAACUAACCUCACACAAAUUAAUGAUUGAAUUUGAAUCAGUAAUUGAAAUAACUUGUAUAGGUGAUUAGGAUUAACGAUGAUAUGUUUUGAGUUUGAGGUUUUUUUUUGCUUGUUUAAUCAGUAAUUGAAAUAACUUGUAUGGAUGAUUAAGAUUAACGAUGAUCUGCUUUAAGUUUGGGGGUUUUUUGCUUUUUUAAUUUGGAUAAAACUCAAUUUUUUAAAAAUAACUUUUCACUUCAUUUGUUUUUAUAAAAUACUCAAAAAAAUCCUAAUCAACAUGAAAUUUGUCUAAUAAACUGAUUUUUAUUAUUUUUACACGUUAUUACCAUGUAUAACAUUUACAUCCUAGUUUUCGUUGAAAAAAAUCUUACGUUGUUAUAUAUUUUAUUUUUACACGUUAUUACUAUGUAUAACAUGUACAUCCUAGUUUUCGUUGAAAAAAAUCUUACGUUGUUAUAUAUUUUAUACAAAUUAAAACAUUUAGUCAUGAAUUAAAUAACCACUCAAAUAUUUAAUCACAAUUUGAGCAUUUAGCUAUUAUUUUAUGAUGUUUGAAACGUAAUAAACUGUGAUUUAGUUUUUUUUUUUUAAUGCAAAUGUCUUUUAAACCUUUUAAAAGUUUUGUGAUUUAAAUAAGUGUCAUCAUCUCAUAAAUUCAUAAUUUAUAAACUUGUAAAUUAAAUAAGUUUUAUUAUCUCAUCAUGAAUAACAAAUGUCCAUUGCAUGAUGAUAAAUAAUAUCACAUAAAUUAAACACAAGAACAUUAAGAUGUUGUAUGGUAUAAAGUGGUCAUCAUAAAAAAAAAAAAAUAAUUUAUAUAUAAUGAUUAAACUAUUAUAUUUGAUAACUAUAAUGAUUUUAUAUGACAAUGAUCUAUUAUCAUCAACUAUAAUCAAAUUAUUUUUUAAAAAAGUGAUUUAGUUUACAUCCAAAAGAGUGGAAAGUUUUUCUUAUCUAAGUAAAAUGAUAUGUAAAAUUAACAACAGUUAAUAAUACUCAUUUAAUAUGUGAAUUAUAAAUUUACUUCCUCUUAAAAUUAUAAUUAUUUUAUAUUAUACAAUUUGAUAUUUUUAAACUAAUAUUUAUUGCAACAAGUUCAAAAAUAACUUGUGAACUUUAUUUUAUCUUUUUAUAAAUAUUUUAUGUAGAAUAUUUUUUAUAUGAUUUUAUUAUAUUAGUUAUAUUUUUUAAUUUAAAAUAUUUUAUAUAAUUUAUAUUAUAAAAGUUAAUUUACCUAUCAAUAAAUAAUUAUAAAUUUAAUAAUUUAAUUAUAUUUUAUUAUGAUAUAAAUAAAAAAUUAUUAAUAUUUUACAAAUUAUUAUCUUUAAAUAAUAUUGAAAAUCAUUAACUUAUAUAACUAUUAUAAUAUGAACCGUUAUUUUAAAACUUCUAAAUAAAAAAAUAUAUAUUUUUAAUAAUAUUAAAUAUAAUGAUAUUUAAAUUUUAAAAAUUAAUUAUUAUUAAUUAAAUAAAAUAAUUUAAAAACGCGAUUGAUAAAAUUAUCUUAAUAAUAAAAUAACUAAAUGAUUAAAUUACCUGAUAAUUUUGAAAAUAAUACAAAAUAUUAAAGAUUAAAAAGUACUCCAAUAAAAACUCUUUAUUAUCUUCUGUAGAUCACUUAGAAAUGUGUUACAGUAAUUAUUUUUUUUAAAAAAAAGGUCGGAGACUUGUGGAUUAAAGGUGUAAUUUCUAAAAGUUUAUCCGUCUAUUUGAUUUAGACUUAUUAUCCCUGUGCAGCAUAUAAUCUUCAACUUCCAAUUUUCUUGCACUCUUACGCCGAUCCUUGUUCAAAAUUGACAACACAAGCAUUGGACUGGACUUCUACAGUAAAAGAGGUGAGAGACUGCAGAAACUAAUAAACUAAUAUUUCUAUUGUUCUUAUUAUGCAAACUAAAUGCACAAAAGAAAAGUUUUGAAGGCAAAAACAUAGACCGAGAGUGCCGAUUUGAAAAUAUAGGUUUACAAAAUAAGUAAAUAGAAGCCUAUCAUACCAGCAGUUAAACCUGUUCACCAUCCCCGUAACUUAAAGUGGAACUAAAAUUCUAGAAACAUGAAAU
rnacentral:lncRNA from 1 species